UCGGCUGACCCAGAGACCUUCGCCAAGAACCGGGAGCUGGAGGUGAUCCACUCACGGUGGGCGAUGCUCGGCGCCCUGGGGUGCGUGUUCCCGGAGAUCCUGUCCAAGAACGGCAUCAAGUUCGGCGAGGCCGUGUGGUUCAAGGCCGGUGCCCAGAUCUUCUCCGAGGGCGGCCUCGACUACCUGGGCAACCCCAACCUGGUGCACGCGCAGAGCAUCCUCGCCAUCUGGGCGGUUCAGGUGGUGCUCAUGGGCUUCAUCGAGGGUUACCGCGUUGGUGGCGGCCCCCUCGGCGAGGGCCUCGACAUCAUCUACCCAGGCGGCGCCUUCGACCCACUUGGCCUCGCCGACGACCCCGACACCGCAGCUGAGCUCAAGGUCAAGGAGCUCAAGAACGGCCGCCUCGCCAUGUUCUCCAUGUUCGGCUUCUUCGUGCAGGCCAUCGUCACCGGAAAGGGGCCCGUAGAGAACCUCUUCGACCACGUCGCCGACCCGGUCAACAACAACGCGUGGGCCUUCGCCACCAACUUCGCCCCCGGAAGCUAAAUGUGUUAAGCCAUCUGUCCGUCCAUCGGACGAGAUAUGCAUGUGUACUUGUACGUCGUGGAUCAACGUGUAGCUGCACGUACUUUGUGUGUUUAUUUGUACCAUGAUCGAGCGAGCGAGAUGACCUCUCGCUGGCUGCGCGCAAUGUAAAUUAAUUAAGCACGAGAUGCACGAGCAAAUGGAUGGAAGAAUCGUGUAUCAUUAGUACAUUACUCGAGAUCAUCAACUGGCAUGGCGUAUAUGGUACUUCAAGCUCAUGAAACGGGACAUUCGCAACGGCAUACGGAGAUCCAACGGGCCAACUAUACAACUCUGUCUUUGUGGCUAUUCUUGGUUCAGAAACCCAGUUUCUCUCGUUUGAAAUCCUUUUCAGAUCGUAACUUUGAAACUCAUGCAAGCAUGAACAUGAAUACACAGAUUUUGCAAUGCAGAACUUGCAUCUUUUCUUCAUGGGAAAAUUUUAUUUUUGCCGCUCUAGAUUUUGCCAAUUUUCCUUAUGUCACUCUAGAUUUCGACAUUUCACUUUUGCAACUCUGGAAAACCGGCCUCGCCCUGAGCGCGCCCUCGCCCCCCGCACCUGACCGUCGUGCGCCACUCCGGCGCCGGCGUCCACCGCGCUCUUGCGCCCCGGCUUGUGCCACUCCGGCCAUUCCGGCCACCUCUUCCCCCUCUCCGGUCCCGUCUUCCUCCCUGGCGCGUCGCUCGCCGCAGCCAUGACCUCCAGUCCCAGAUCUGGCUCGUCCAUGGCCAGCCGGAGGGUGAGAGGCCGAUCGUCUCUGGGCUGGGGCUCUCGGAGGGCUCGGCGGAGUCUGACCCCCAGCCAGCGGUGGAGUCGGCGCCGCGCCUGGUGGCCCCUGCUGCGGCCUGGGAGCGGCCGCCUCCGUCCAAGAAGGAGCUCUGGCGGCUUCGGCAUGGCCAGGGGACGCAGGCGGGCUCUUCCAGGGCCAGGCAGGGUGGACCGCCGCCGCCGCGUGUGGAGGUGAUCCCGGAGCUGCAGGACAAGUGCUUCAGGUGCCUGGAAAACGGCCACUUCCGGCAUGACUGCACCAACCAGGAGGUGUGUUUCCGGUGCAGGCUGCCUGGACAUGGAUCCCGCGACUGCAAGCGACCGAGGAGUCCUUCCUCUGCUGAUGCGCGAGGCUAUCGCCAAGGUGGCUCGCCGCACCUCUCCGCGGGUGAGCCCGGAUCCCCCGGUGGCCCGCGUGGCCGCCUCGCCUCCGCCGCAGCUCUCCUACUCGCUGCCGAGGGCGGCCGAGGCGGCUUGGCCACGGCUGGCACCCCCCAGGCUCCAGGUGGCCAUGGAGGCGGACGAAGGCGAGUCCGAGAUCUGUGUGGUUUUCGGCGUUCGUAGUCCACAGAGGAGCUGGAGCGUCGGCUGCGCUUCGCCAUGGUCGCCUACGUGGGCGGUGCUCGGAGAAGGCUGGCGCCGCAGCGCGUGCUCGAGAUCCUGGCGGGCAAGCUCGACAUCACGGAUGAUCAGGUCUCGGUGCACCCGUACAGGCCAGAGGAUUUCCUGGUAGUUUUCGCCUCGGCGGCGAUCAGGAACAGAGUCGCGGCGUGUCCGGAGGUGGAGUUCCAGGGAGAUAGGCUGUACUUCAGACCGUGGAACCGGCAGUCACAGGCAGUGCACUCGAUCUUGGGAUCUAAGGUUUGGAUCGUCAUGGAGGGGAUCCCGCCCCAUGCUUGGGAGAGGGAGACGGCGGAGGACCUUCUAGGCACGGCGUGCAAGGUGGACGCGGUGGCGCCGGAAACUAGCUCAAGGUCAGAUCUUUCGGCAUUCAGGCUCACGGCGUGGACUGCUAAUCCAGAGGCGAUCCCUUCCCUUCGCUGGCUCGCCAUCCCGGAGCCUGGCUCGGAGAUCCCUCCGCCGCUGUUGCAGUACAAGGUUCUCAUACACGUCGACGCAGUUGCAGACUUCAUAGAAGCUGGGGAGCCUUGGUUCUUGGGCGGCUCCUCCGAUAGUGGUCAGAGCGGUCUGCCAGGCUCGCCGGAUGGGUUCAGUGACGAUGGAGGCGGCGCCAGGCCGCGGCAGCGAGUUUGGCAGUUUUGUGUGAGAGAUGCGCGCGGCGGCGAGCUUGGGCGCGAGGGAAACGGCGGCGGCCAUGGUGGCUCAACGAGGAGCGCAGAGAGGACAGACUGGCGCCUGCCCCCGAUGGCCCCCACCCCGGUCGUGUCGCAUGGCGGGCCCACGAUGAGGGUGCAGGAUAGGGUGACAGCCAGGAAGUCAGCUUUUGACUGUCUUUCGGGUCAGCAGCUGGGUGGGGACGCACGAGAGAAGGUUCCCGAGACUAGUUUGAACAGUGGUGGCGCGUUUUUGACCGGGUAGGCGGAUGGAGCACAAGUGUUACCGUUGGGAGAACGUGGGGUGACCCUGGUUGUUGAGGGUGCGGAUCCCCAGACCGACAGGAUCGCGGGGACUGGACAGCCAGCUCUCCUGGCCCCGUCCCCGACCCGCAUGACAACGGUUACGUCGAUGGAUGCGUCAAGGAGCUGCGCGCCAAUGGGGACUCUUCUGCCACGCGCUGGAGAGGACGAGGCAGACCCCACGGGGACUGGGAGGCUGGACCCACCGGAGAUUCUCACUGAUCGCUCCGUCCAGGGGGGCAGACUGCAGCUGGUGGGACCUGUUGGGCCACCCACGAGGGACGCGGAAGGCGGGAGAGGUGAGCAGCAGGAGUUGGCCCUGGCCUCGGAUAGGGAGCCAAUAAUGGAGGGACUGGCAGCGGACGCUGAAGGUGGGGCCAACGAUGGGAAUCAUGCACAUGCAGCAUGCAUGGUGGCAUGCACGUACGGCGUCACCGAUGAUACAAGUAUGGAAAUGGAGGGUGUUCUCGCUGGUGGGCUGGAUGAGGGCAGGCUGUAGCGUGACCAACUGGCCAUUGUCCCCAUCGAGGCAGAGGCACACGGGGAGACGGAAGGCAUGACCGCGCAAGAGGCCCAUGCGUAUGGCAAGCUCAAGAGUUUCUGCUCCAACAUCAUUAAAAAACUCGCCCCUCCCCUGUUAAAAGAGGUACAGGCGGCGCAGCUGCGUCCAGAUGCAUAACCUUUCAUGCCCAAGAGAGCUACUCGAUCGUCGAAGAAGGCCAUGGGGACACGAAGAUCAAAGGAGAGCCCGGCUGAGAAUGUGCUGCUUCAUGCCCUUGGCAUGGUUCCGGAGGACUUGGUGGUUGAUGAUGGGGUGGUGCAUGAGCUCAAGGCUCUGUUUGACUCCCCAUUGAGGGAACAACAUGUGAGGAUCAUUGCUGCUCUCUUCGGCAAGACAAUCCCAUCGGCAGAGGAAUUGGAUGCGAGCAACUCGGUGAUGAUCUCUGUCAACUAGGAGGCUUGUGGGUGGGGCUGGUGGCAGGUCCUUCUUCAUGGAUCUACAUCCCCAAGUGUUGUGCUGGAAUGUUCGUGGCCUAAACAAUCCGGCGAAGCGCAAGGCAGUGAGAGAAUUCGUGUGCUCGUUGAAGUGUAACUUGGUGUGUUUCCAGGAGACCAAGAUGAAUGUAAUGGAUCAUUUCAUUGUUAUGCAAUGCCUAGGGCCAUCUUUUGAUGGCUUCGCUUACUUACCGUCCCAUGAAACUAGGGGUGGCAUCCAGUGGCGUGGGAUAGCUCCGUGUUGAUGUUUGACAAUUUCCAGUACAACGCUAAUUUCCUUACGGGUUUGGUGCACACUAAGGUAGGAGAUCCUUGGUGGAUUUCGGUCGUAUAUGGGCCACAAAGUGACGAAGAGAAGAGCCAGUUCUUGCUAGACCUAGACGCGAGGUGUGCGGGCUGCCCGGGGCCGUGGAUGCUGUUGGGAGACUUUAACAUGAUCUUAAGGGCCGCGGAGAAGAUCAAUAACAACCUCAACAGAACUAUGAUGAAUAGAUUUCGGCAGUUUGUGGAUGACCAAGAGCUCAAGGAGAUGUACAUGCACGGCCGAAAAUUUACGUGGUCGAAUGAGCGGACGGUGCCGACCCUCACCAAGAUUGAUCGUGUGCUCAUUUCGGUUAAUUGGGAGUUGGAAAACCCAUCUUACCUGCUCCAGGCGCUCUCCACCGGAGUUUCGGAUCACGCCCCGUUGCACUUAUCCACGAGUGCUAAUUUUUGCCCCAAAAAGAGGUUCCGCUUUGAGCUUUUCUGGACUAGAAUGGAAGGUUUUGAGGAUGUUGUGAGAGAGGCCUGGGUAUGUGACGCGUCCAUCGUCGAUCCCUACAAGAGGCUGGAUGCUCUGCUGCGCAACGCCGCAAACCACCUGCAAGCGUGGGGCCAAAGGAAACUGGGGAAUGUGAAGACACUCAUGCGGGUGGCCACCUGGGUCAUCCAUAAGCUGGAUGUAGCCGAGGAGAACGGAAUUCUGCAACGGGAAGAGGUGUGGUUGCGAAGAACACUGAAACACUCGCUCCUAGGUUUGGCUGCGCUCGAGAGGACAAUUGACCGGCAGAGGUCGAGGCUCAAGUGGGUCAAAGAGGGCGACGCCAACACCAAGCUGUUCCAAGCAGUGGCAAACGGAAGAAGGACCAAGAAUUAUAUCCCAUACAUCAAACAUGGCAGCGAGAUCAUUACCGACCAGGAGAGAAUGGUGGACACGUUCACAGAAGUGUACAAGCAGUUGAUGGGCACGACACAUGCCAGGGAGCAUACUUUAGACUUGCAAUUCCUACAGAUGGAACCGAAGGAGUUGAGCUCACUUGAGGAGAUCAUUACGGAAGAAGAGGUAUGGCAGGUUAUCAAAGAAAUGGCCCCGGACCGUGCCCCGGGACCAGAUGGCUUCAUCGGUGCGUUCUACCAAUGAGCCUGGCAGAUUAUAAAACAGGACAUUAUGGCUGUGAUGCUAAAGCUGUAUGUGGGGGACACUAGAGGUUUUGCGAAGCUCAUCAAGGCCCACAUUAUCCUCAUUCCAAAAAAGCCGGAUGCGGAGGAGAUUGGAGAUUACCGGCCUAUCAGUCUUAUCCAUAGUAUCCCCAAGCUCUUUGCAAAGGUACUUGCUAACCGGUUGCGUAGCCGAAUGCCGGAAAUUGUGGCCACGAACCAGUCUGCCUUUAUCAAAGGAAGGCACCUGCAUGACAACUUUCUGCUGGUUCGGAAAGUAGCGCGGAAGAUUCAUGCAAGAAGAGUCCCAGGAGUGUUCAUCAAGUUAGACAUUUCAAGAGAUUUUGAUUCUCUUUCUUGGCCGUUUCUGUUGGAAGUCUUGCGGGCAAAGGGUUUUGGACAGAGGUGGAUGACUUGGAUCAUGACGAUCUUGCACUCUGCUAGCACCAAGGUGGUGGUGAAUGGUGUCCCCGGUGGAAGCUUCUUACAUGCCUGUGGUCUGCGCCAAGGCGACCCAAUACCGCCAAUGCUCUUUGUAAUCGCCAUGGAGGCACUUACGGCGCUAAUCAACAAAGCUACUGAUGUGGGUGUGCUCAGCUCAUAUAAUGGAAUAUCGGCGCUGCAAAGACUAUCAAUAUAUGCAGACGAUGUAGCGCUGUUCGUCAAGCCUUCACGGCAGGACCUGUCGGUAGUUCACGAGAUUCUAGACGUGUUUGGGGAGGCCUCGGGGCUAAAAGUUAACUACCACAAAUCAUCGGCAAUCUUGAUCCGUGGGGAUCAGGAAGAUAAGGAGAGGGUGGCCGGAUUGCUGCACUGUGGACUUGCCGAAUUCCCUUGCAAAUACCUUGGUGUACAGCUUGCAAUCCGAAGUUUAACGCGAGCUGAAUGGAUGCCUAUGCUUGACCAAGUCCGGAAAGUGAUCCCUGCCUGGCAACGAGGACUUAUACAGUGACCCGGUCGGCUCGUUUUGGUUCAGUCCGUUGUCGCAGCUAGGCCAGUGCACCACCUGAUGAUUACAGAUGCGCCAGAUUGGGUGUUCGAGGAAAUGAAUAAAUGGAUGAGGUCGUUUUUCUGGGCGGGGAAGGACAAAAGCAAUGGAGGGCAAUGUCUCGUGGCAUGGGACCAAGUUUGCCGACCAAAGCAGUUCAGAGGAUUAGGGAUAAAGAACAUGAAAGCCCAGGCUCUAGCCCUGAGAGUGAGGUGGGAGUGGCUAAGGAGGACUGACCCUAGCAGACCAUGGCAAGGUUUACCUAUGGCGGACGACUGUAAUGCAAGAGCUGUUUUUGAGGCCAUGGUCAGGAUUGAGGUUGGGAGGGGCGACAGCGUCCUGUUCUGGAGAGACAAGUGGCUACGCGGAGCCGGCGUGGCAGAUAUCGCGCCGCGCUUGAUGGAGACGGUGCCAACGAGAAUAAUUAACAGCCGGACGGUCCAUCAGGCUCUCACAGAGAACAGGUGGUACGAGGACUGUGAUGCCACGGCUUCCUUCACUGCCUAGUUGUAGUGUAUGCACCUUUGCCAUGCACUUGCUUCGGUGCAUAGAGAUGAGAAUGAACCGGACCGGUUCACUUGGCCGGCGACGAAUAUGGCGAGCUACUUGGCCAAAUCGGUCUAUGACUACCUUUGCUCGGGCCUGCAGAAGUCCCCGACGGCGGCAUGUACUUGGAGAAGCUGGGCGACGUUAAAGUGCAAGCUGUUUAUUUGGUUGGCGUUACAAUAUAGAUUGUGGACAUCGGAUAGACGGGCCCGUCAUGGCCUCCAAGACCAACCGUCGCCAUGUUUCACGUGCUUGCAAGCGGAGGACAAUGUUGACCACAUACUGGCCAAGUGCACCUUUGCACAGGAGGUGUGGCAUCAAGUGUUCGACCUGCUCGGCCUCAAUGUUGUAGGAACAACCCCAAACGACACCUUCCCUGUUUGGUGGAUGAGAGAAAGGAAGAAGUUUAGGGGAGCUAACAGAAGAGGGUUUGACACUCUCGUGACGGCGGUGGCUUGGAUACUUUGGAAGCAAAGAAACGCCAGGGUCUUCAACAGACAGGAGAAACAGAAGCCAGCACCCCUCAUUCCCAACCUAGUGCUUGAGGAAAUCACGGCAUGGCAUACGGCAGGGCUUGGAGCGGAACAUCUACAACGUUUUGUGAGGAGUUAGAUUAGUAGUGUUUCGGAGUUGGAGUAGGUGUGUGUCACCCAUCCUAGAUGUUCGCACCAGGGAGGGGCAUCUUGUAAUUAACUCUCUUUCGUCUAUAAAAAUAUGGUAAGCCAUUGGCGUACUCUCGGAAAAAUAAACUUUUGCAACUCUUAGUUUUUGACAAUUAUUAUCACAAUAGAUAUUCCGUGGCAAAAGCAAAAAUUUCAGAGUGGCAAUUGUGAUACAUGGUCAAAAGCUAAGAGUGGCAAAAAUAAAAUAAAAUAAUUUUGCUUUUGCCACGGAAUGGCAAUUGUAAUAAUUGUCAAAAUCUAAGAGUGGCAAAGGUGAAAUGUCAAAUCUAGAGUGGCAUAAGAAAAAUUGGCAAAAUCUAAAGUGGCAAAAAAAACCUUUCUUGAACUCUUACAAGACGACUUCAUGUCCAACUCAACACGUAACCGUGCCCAACUCGACGCUACCCCUAACAUGUGUUUAGGCUCAAAUUUGGAAAAUUGGACUACUUUCAAACUUACGCUACGACUCAAAUUGUUAGAUAGAAGGAGAUUAAAUGAAAGAUGAAUGUGCAAUCGCACUAUGAUUGAGAAGAUGGCAAGCAUGAGAUGACUAGUAGUAGUCUUUAAGUGUGACUACUUGUGUAUAUAUAGAGGUAAGCCGACGUCCGGCCUGUUUAGGGCGACCUCUAGAAAUUCUAUCAUAGAAAAUGCGAUUUUUUUGUCCAAAAGGACCACCUGCCGAGUCAAAUUGAUGAAAAAGACCAACUUUUUAAAAAAAUUGAUAAAAAAGACCAGUUAGGCCGUGGCAGCAGGCGCGCCAACCGACACGUGGGGGAGGCGGCAGGCACUACAGCAAGCGGCAGCCCGGAAUUACCGGAGACUGGGCGAGACCAGCUGCUGCAACGGAAUAGGAUGGGCUGGUGGGCCCUGCCGCCACACACCGUGGUGACAAGUCUCCACCAGCAGCUCGGCUAUGUCUCUCAGCUCUCUGUUUUACUUGCUGUUAGCAAGUGUGAAAACAUGCAAGGUUGACUGAAAUUUAAAUCAAUCUGAAGGCCAAUUUUGAAGAUGUUGCAGUCGAAGAAAAGAUAGAUCCAGAUGAGACCUAUCCAUUUUUAUGUUUUUCGCUUACAUGCACGAUCGUUUCGUACUUUCCAAAUGCUCCAAAACACUCCCAACAUAUUAUCAAACGCCUAAUUUAACCUAUAAACCCUGGAGAACUGCUAGGCAGGAGGAAGGUGGCCACGUCGCCUUUAAAUCCCGAAUGCCACCGCCUGUAAAUUCCGUGCCCCGUCAAGGGCAUUUUAGUCAUUUCACGCGCAGGCAUAUAAAACGCAGCCCGCCCGUAUAGAAACCCUAGCCGCUGCCUCCGCCCGCACUCGCUCCCCCACCCACCCGCGCAGCUCUCUUCCCCGACCCCUUCCUUCCCCCGUCUGCCCGAGCCCCCGCCGCCAACUGCUCCUCCUCCACCGCCUUGCCUCUUCCUCCUCCUCGCCGUCCCAUCGCUUGCACGCAGGCCAUCGCGGCCACGCGCUUCGCGGGCGAACCCGAUCUCCACCGCCUGCUCCUGCACGACGCCUCUCGAGUGAAGGAGGAUGCCCAAACCAUGGUCGAGCCAACGGUGGGGGCCGGGUCAAGGCUGCGGUUGGCGGCCUGGAUGCAGGAGAACCGCUAGGCAGGAGGAAGGUGGCCACGUCACCUUUAAAUCGUGAAUGCCACCGCCUGUAAAUUCCGUGCCCCGCCAUGGGCAUUUUAGUCAUUUCACGCGCAGGCAUAUAAAACGCAGCCCGCCCGUGUAGAAACCCUAGCCGCUGCCUCCGCCCGCACUCGCUCCCCCACCCACCUGCGCAGCUCUCUUCCCCGACCCCUUCCUUCCCCCGUCUGCCCGAGCCCCCGCCGCCAACUGCUACUCCUCCACCGCCUCGCCUCUUCCUCCUCCUCGCCGUCCCAUCGCAUGCACGCAGGCCAUCGUGGCCACGGGCUUCGUGUUAGAAAUAUGUCCUAGAGGCAAUAAUAAAUUGGUUAUUGUUAUAUUUCCUUGUUCAUGAUAAUCGUUUAUUAUCCAUGCUAAAAUUGUAUUGAUAGGAAACUCAGAUACAUGUGUGGAUACAUAGACAACACCAUGUCCCUAGUAAGCCUCUAGUUGACUAGCUCGUUGAUCAAUAGAUGGUUACGGUUUCCUGACCAUGGACAUUGGAUGUCGUUGAUAACGGGAUCACAUCAUUAGGAGAAUGAUGUGAUGGACAAGACCCAAUCCUAAGCCUAGCACAAGAUCGUGUAGUUCGUCUGCUAAAGCUUUUCUAAUGUCAAGUAUCAUUUCCUUAGACCAUGAGAUUGUGCAACUCCCGGAUACCGUAGGAAUGCUUUGGGUGUACCAAACGUCACAACGUAACUGGGUGGCUAUAAAGGUGCACUACAGGUAUCUCCGAAAGUGUCUGUUGGGUUGGCAUGAAUCGAGACUGGGAUUUGUCACUCCGUGUAAACGGAGAGGUAUCUCUGGGCCCACUCGGUAGGACAUCAUCAUAAUGUGCACAAUGUGACCAAGGAGUUGAUCACGGGAUGAUGUGUUAUGGAACGAGUAAAGAGACUUGCCGGUAACGAGAUUGAACAAGGUAUCGGGAUACCGACGAUCGAAUCUCGGGCAAGUACUAUACCGGUAGACAAAGGGAAUUGUAUAUGGGAUUGAUUGAAUCCUUGACAUCGUGGUUCAUCCGAUGAGAUCAUCGUGGAACAUGUGGGAGGCAACAUGGGUAUCCAGAUCCCGCUGUUGGUUAUUGGCCGGAGAUAUGUCUCGGUCAUGACUACAUGGUUCCCGAGCCCGUAGGGUCUACACACUUAAGGUUCGAUGACGCUAGGGUUAUAGGGAAAGUAUGUACGCGGUUACCGAAUGUUGUUCGGAGUCCCGGAUGAGAUCCCGGAUGUCACGAGGAGUUCCGGAAUGGUCCGGAGGUAAAGAUUGAUAUAUAGGAAGUGAGGAUUUGGCCACCGGAAGUGUUCCGGGCAUCACCGGUAAUGUACCGGGACCACCGGAAGGGUCCGGGGGUCCACCGGGAGGGGCCACCAGCCCCAGAGGCUUGCGUGGGCCAAUAGUGGGAAGGGACCAGCCCCUAGGUGUUGGGGAACGUAGUAAUUUCAAAAAAAUUCCUACGCACACGCAAGAUCAUGGUGAUGCAUAGCAACGAGAGGGGAGAGUGUUGUCCACGUACCCUCGUAGACCGACAGCGGAAGCGUUAUCACAACGCGGUUGAUGUAGUCGUACGUCUUCAUGAUCCGACCGAUCAAGUACCGAACGUACGGCACCUCCGAGUUCCACACACGUUCAGCUCGAUGACGUCCCUCGAACUCCGAUCCAGCCGAGUGUUGAGGGAGAGUUUCGUCAGCACGACGGCGUGGUGACGAUGAUGAUGUUCCACCGACGCAGGGCUUCGCCUAAGCUCCGCAACGGUAUUAUCGAGGUGUAAUAUGGUGGAGGGGGGCACCGCACACGGCUAAGAGAUCUCAAGGAUCAAUUGUUGUGUCUCUGGGGUGCCCCCUGCCCCCGUAUAUAAAGGAGCAAGGGAGGAGGAGGCCGGCCCUAGGAGGGGGCGCACCAAGUGUGGAGUCCUACUAGGACUAGUACAAUGCCCGUCGUUGCCACGGGCUCUUGAAUGUUGGAAAUAUGCCCUAGAGGCAAUAAUAAAUAGGUUAUUAUUAUAUUUCCUUGUUCAUGAUAAUCGUUUAUUAUCCAUGCUAGAAUUGUAUUGAUAGGAAACUCAGAUACAUGUGUGGAUACAUAGACAACACCAUGUCCCUAGUAAGCCUCUAGGAGACUAGCUCGUUGAUCAAUAGAUGGUUAUGGUUUCCUAACCAUGGACAUUGGAUGUCGUUGAUAACGGGAUCACAUCAUUAGGAGAAUGAUGUGAUGGACAAGACCCAAUCCUAAGCCUAGCACAAGAUCGUGUAGUUCGUUUGCUCAGAGCUUUUCUAAUGUCAAGUAUCACUUCCUUAGACCAUGAGAUUGUGCAACUCCCGGAUACCGUAGGAAUGCUUUGGGUGUACCAAACGUCACAACGUAACUGGGUGGCUAUAAAGGUGCACUACGGGUAUCUCCGAAAGUGUCUGUUGGGUUGGCACGAAUCGAGACUGGGAUUUGUCACUCCGUGUAAACGGAGAGGUAUCUCUGGGCCCACUCGGUAGGACAUCAUCAUAAUGUGCACAGUGUGACCAAGGAGUUGAUCACGGGAUGAUGUGAGUUACGGAACGAGUAAAGAGACUUGCCGGUAACGAGAUUGAACAAGGUAUAGGGAUACCGACGAUCGAAUCUCGGGCAAGUAACAUACCGAUGGACAAAGGGAAUUGCAUACGGGAUUGAUUGAAUCCCCGACAUCGUGGUUCAUCCGAUGAGAUCAUUGUGGAACAUGUGGGAGCCAACAUGGGUAUCCAGAUCCCGUUGUUGGUUAUUGACCGGAGAACGUCUCGGUCAUGUCUGCAUGGUUCCCGAACCCGUAGGGUCUACACACUUAAGGUUCGAUGACGCUAGGGUUAUAGGGAAAGUAUGUACGUGGUUACCGAAUGUUAUUCGGAGUCCCGGAUGAGAUCCCGGACGUCACGAGGAGUUCCGGAAUGGUCCGGAGGUAAAGAUUUAUAUAUGGGAAGUCCUGUUUUGGUCACCAGAAAAGUUUCGGGUGAAAUCGGUAAUGUACCGGGACCACCGGGAGGGUCCCGGGGGUCCACCAAGUGGGGCCACCAGCCCCAGAAGGCUGCGUGGGCCAAGUGUGGGAGGGGACCAGCCCCAGGUGGGCUGGUGCGCCCCCCCCACCAAGGCCCAGGCGCAUGGGAGAGUGGGAGGGGGCAAACCCUAGGUCCAGAUGGGCCUUAGGGCCCAUCUAGUGGGGCGCCUCCCCCUCUCCUCCCCUUGGCCGCCCCCCUUGAUGGGAUCUAGGGCUGGCCGCCUCCUCUUGAGGGUGGAAACCCUAAAGGGGGCGCAGCCCCCUUCCCCCCUAUAUAUACUUGAGGUUUGGGCUGCCAUACAGACACGAGAAAGUCUCCUUUUGGUGCUGCCCUACCCCUCUCCCUCCUCCUCCUCUCCCGCGGUGCUUGGCGAAGCCCUGCGGGAUUGCCACGCUCCUCCAUCACCACCACGCCGUCGUGCUGCUGCUGGAUGGAGUCUUCCCCAACCUCUCCCUCUCUCCUUGCUGGAUCAAGGCGUGGGAGACGUCACCGGGCUGCACGUGUGUUGAACGCGGAGGCACCGUACUUUCGGUGCUUAGAUCGGAAUCAACCGCGAUCUGAAUCGCUACGAGUACGACUCCCUCAUCCGCGUUCUUGCAACGCUUCCGCAUCGCGAUCUACAAGGGUAUGUAGAUGCACUCCCCUUCCCUUCGUUGCUAGUAAACUCCAUAGAUUGAUCUUGGUGAUGCGUAGAAAAUUUUGAAUUUCUGCUACGUUCCCCAACAGUGGCAUCAUGAGCUAGGUCUAUGCGUAGUUUCUAUGCACGAGUAGAACACAAAGUAGUUGUGGGCGUCGAUGUUGUCAAUUCUUCUUGCCGCUACUAGUCUUAUCUUGUUUCGGCGGCAUUGUGGGAUGAAGCGGCCCGGACCGACCUUACACGUACGCUUACGUGAGACAGGUUCCACCGACUGACAUGCACUAGUUGCAUAAGGUGGCUAGCGGGUGUCUGUCUCUCCCACUUUAGUCGGAACGGAUUCGAUGAAAAGGGUCCUUAUGAAGGGUAAAUAGAAAUUGGCAAAUCACGUUGUGGUCAUCGUAGGUAAGAAACGUUCUUGCUAGAAACCUACAAACCACGUAAAAACUUGCAACAACAAUUAGAGGACGUCUAACUUGUUUUUGCAGCAAGUGCUAUGUGAUGUGAUAUGGCCAGAAGAUGUGAUGAAUGAUAUAUGUGAUGUAUGAGAUUGAUCAUAUUCUUGUAAUAGGAAUCACGACUUGCAUGUCGAUGAGUAUGACAACCGGCAGGAGCCAUAGGAGUUGUCUUUAUUUUUUGUAUGACCUGUGUGUCAUUGAAUAACGCCAUGUAAAUUACUUUACUUUAUUGCUAAGCGCGUUAGCCAUAGAAGUAGAAGUAAUCGUUGGCGUGACAACUUCAUGAAGACACAAUGAUGGAGAUCAUGAUGAUGGAGAUCAUGGUGUCAUGCCGGUGACAAAGAUGAUCAUGGUGCCCCGAAGAUGGAGAUCAAAGGAGCAAGAUGAUAUUGGCCAUAUCAUGUCACUAUUUGAUUUCAUGUGAUGUUUAUCAUGUUAUGCAUCUUAUUUGCUUAGAACGACGGUAGUAAGUAAGAUGAUCCCUCACUAAAAUUUCAAGAGAAGUGUUCCCCCUAACUGUGCACCGUUGCGAAGGUUCGUCGUUUCGAAGCACCACGUGAUGAUCGGGUGUGAUAGAUUCUUACGUUCGAAUACAACGGGUGUUGACGAGCCUAGCAUGUACAGACAUGGCCUCGGCACACACGCAAUACACUUAGGUUGACUUGACGAGCCUAGCAUGUACAGACAUGGCCUCGGAACACGGAGGACCGAAAGGUCGAGCAUGAGUCGUAUAGAAGAUACGAUCAACAUGGAGAUGUUCACCGAUCUUGACUAGUCCGUCUCACGUGAUGAUCGGACACGGCCUAGUUGAACUCGGAUCAUGUUUCACUUAGAUGACUAGAGGGAUGUCUAUCUGAGUGGGAGUUCAUAAUCAGAUGAACUUCAUUAUCAUGAACAUAGUCAAAAAGGUAUUUGCAAACUAUGUCAUAGCUUGCGCUUUAAGUUCUACUGGUUUAGAUAUGUUCCUAGAGAAAAUUUAGUUGAAAGUUGGUAGUAGCAAUUAUGCGGACUGGGUCCGUAAACUGAGGAUUGUCCUCAUUGCUGCACAGAAGGCUUAUGUCCUUAAUGCACCGCUCGGUGUGCUGAACCUCAGCGUCGUCUGUAGAUGUUGCGAAACAUCUGACAUACACGUUUUGAUAACUACGUGAUAGUUCAGUGCGGUUUAGAAUUGUGGCACCCAAGACGUUUUUGAAACGUCGCAGAACAUGUGAGAUGUUCCGAAGACUGAAAUUGGGAUUUCAGACUAGUGCCCACGUCAAGAGGUAUGAGACCUCUGACAAGUUUCUUAAGCCUGCAAACUAAGGGAGAAAAGCUCAAUCGUUGAGCAUGUGCUCAGAUUGUCUGAGUGCCACAAUCACUUGAAUCGAGUGGGAGUUAAUCUCCCAGAUGAGAUAGUGAUAGUUCUCCAUAGUCACUGCCACUAAGCUAGUAGAGCUUCGUAAUGAACUAUAACAUAUCAAGGAUAGUUAUGAUGAUCCUUGAGCUAUUCGCGAUGUCUGACACCGCGAGAGUAGAAAUCAAGAAGGAGCAUCAAUUGUUGAUGGUUAGUAAAACCACUAGUUUAAGAAGGGCAAGGGCAAAAGGGAUACUUCAUGAAACAACAAGUCGUUUGCUGCUCUAGUGAAGAAUCCCAAGGUUGAACCCAAACCCGAGACUAAGUGCUUCUGUAAUAAGAGGAACGGUCACUGAAGCAGUACUACCCUAGAUACUUGGUAGAUGAGAAGACAGGCAAGGUCGACAGAAGUAUAUUGGAUAUACGUCAUAUGAAUGUGUACUUUACUAGUACUCCCAGCAGCACCAGGGUAUUAGAUACCGGUUCGGUUGCUAAGUGUUAGUAACUCGAAAUAAAAGCUGCGGAAUAAACGGAGACUAGCUAAAGGUGAGAUGACGAUAUGUGUUGGAAGUGUUUCCAAGGUUGAUGUGAUCAAGCAUCGCAUGCUCCCUCUACUAUCGAGAUUUGGUGUUUGCGUUGAGCAUGAUUGGAUUAUGUUUAUCGCAAUAUGGUUAUUCAUUUAAGGAGAAUAAUGGUUACUCUGUUUAUUUGAAUAAUACCUUCAAUGGUCUUGCACCUAAAAUGAAUCUCGAUCGUAGUGAUACACAUGUUCAUGCCAAAAAGGAUAUAUGAUAGUAAUGAUAGUACCACAUACUUGUGGCACUGCCACUUGAGUCAUAUUGGUAUAGAACGCAUGAGGAAGCUCCAUGUGGAUGGAUCUUUGGACUCACUCAUUUUUGAAAAGAUUGAGACAUGCGAACCAUGUCUAUUGGUAUAUAUGCAUGAAGAAACUCCAUGCAGAUGGAUCAUUUAGACUCACUUGAUUAUGAAUCACUUGAGACAUGCAAAUCAUACCACAUGGGCAAGAUGACUGAAAGUCCUCGUUUUCAGUAAGAUGGAACAAGAGAGCAACUUAUUGGAAGUAAUACAUUUUGAUGUAUGCAGUCCAAUGAGUGCUGAGGCAUGCAGUGGAUAUCAUUAUGUUCUUACUUCACAGAUGAUUUGAGUAGAUGCUGAGAAUAUUUACUUGAUGAAACACAAGUCUGAAUUAUUGAAAGGUUCAAGUAAUUUCAGAGUGAAGUCGAAGAUUGUCGUGACAAGAGGAUAAAAUGUCUAUGAUAUGAUCAUAGAGAUAUCUGAGUUACGAGUUUGGCACACAAUUAAGACAUUGUGGAAAGUGUUUCACAAUUAAUACCGCCUGGAACACCAUAGUGUGAUGGUGUGUCCGAACAUCACAACUGCACCCUAUUGGAUAUGGUGCACACCAUGAUGUUUCUUAUCAAAUUACCACUAUCGUUUAUGGGUUAGGCAUUAGAGACAACCACAUUCACUUUAAAAGGGGCACCACGCAAUUCCGUUGAGACGACACCGUUUAUAGAAACCUAAGUUGUCGUUUCUUAAAAGUUUGGGGCUGCGAUGCUUAUGUGAAAAAGUUUCAGGCUGAUAAGCUCAAACCCAAAGCGGAUAAAUGCAUCUUCAUAGAAUACCCAAAAACAGUUGGGUAUACCUCCUAUUUCAGAUCUGGAAGCAAAAGUAAUUGCUUCUAGAAAUGAGUCCUUUCUUGAGGAAAAGUUUCUCUCGAAAUAAUUGAGUGGGAGGAUGGUGGAGACUUGAUAAGGUUAUUGAAUCCUCGCUUCAACUAGUGUGUAGCAGGGCACAGGAAGUUGUUCCUGUGGCACCUACACCAAUUGAAGUGGAAGCUUAUGAUAGUGAUCAUGAAACUUCGGAUCAAGUCACUACCAAACCUCGUAGGACGACGAGGAUGCGCACUACUUCAGAGUGGUACGUGAUCCUGUCUGAGAUAUCAUGUUGUUGGACAAUACUGAACCUACGAGCUAUGGAGAAGCGAUGGUGGGCCCAUAUUUCGACAAAUGGUUAGAAACCAUGAAAUCCGAGAUAAAUGGAUCUUUGAGAAGAAGACGGACGUGGACGGUAAUGUUACCGUCUAUGAAGCUCGACUUGUGGCAAAGAGUAUUUUCACAAGUUCAAGGAGUUGACUACGAUGAGUUUUUCUCAUCCGUAGCGAUGCUUAGGUCCGUCGGAAUCAUGUUAGCAUUAGCUACAUUUAUGAAAUCUGGCAGAUGGAUGUCAAAACAAGUUUCCUUACCAGUUUUCGUAAGGAAAGGUUGUAUGUGAUACAAUCAGAAAGGUUUUGUCAAUCCUAAGGAUGCUAAAAGGUAUGCUAGCUCCAGCGAUCCUUCCAUGGAUUAGAGCAAGCAUCUCGGAGUCAGAAUAUACGCUUUGAUGGGGUGAUCAAAGUUUUUGGGUUUAUACAAAGUUUGUUAGAAACUUGUAUUUACAAUAAAGUGAGUGGGAGCGCUACAACAUUUCUGAUAAGUAUAUGUGAAUGACAUAUUGUUGAUCCGAAAUGAUGUAAAAUUUCUGGAAAGCAUAAAGGGUUGUUUGAAAGGAGUUUUUCAAAGGAAGACCUGGAUAAAGCUACUUACAUAUUGGGCAUCAAGAUCCAUAGAGAUAGAUCAAGACGCCUGAUGAUACUUUCAAAAGACAGCACACCUUGACAUGAUUUUGAAAGAGUUCAAAAUAGAUCAGCAAAGAAGGAGUUCUUGGCUGUGUUACAAGGUGUGAGUAUUGAGUAAGACUCAAGACCUGACCACAGCAGAAGAUAGAGAAAGGACGAAGGUCGUCCCCUAUGCUUUAGACGUAGGCUCUAUAGUAUGCUAUGCUGUGUACCGCACAUGUAGUGUGCCUUGCCAUGAGUUGGUCAAGAGGGUACAAUGGUGAUCCGGGAAUGGAUCUCAUGACAGCGGUCGAACUUAUCCUUAGUACCUAGUGGACUAAGGAAUUUUCUCGAUUAUGGAGGUGAAAAGGAGUUCGUCGUAAAGAGUUACGUCGAUGCGAACUUUGACACUAAUCCGGAUGACUCUGAGUAGUAAACCGGAUUCGUAUAGUAGAGCAAUUACUUGAAAUGGCUCCAAGUAGCGCGUGGUAGCAUCCACAAAGAUGACAUAGAUAUUCGUAAAGCACACACGAAUCUGAAAGGUUCAGGCCCGUUGACUAAUAACCUCUCUCACAAGCAUAACAUGAUCAAACCAGAACUCAUUGAGUGUUAAUCACAUAGAGAUGUGAGCUAGAUUGUUGACUCUAGUAAACUCUUGGGUGUUGGUCACAUGGUGAUGUGACCUGUCAGUGUUAAUCACAUGGUGAUGUGAACUAGAUUAUUGACUCUAGUGCAAGUGGGAGACUGUUGGAAAUAUGCCCUAGAGGCAAUAAUAAAUAGGUUAUUAUUAUAUUUCCUUGUUCAUGAUAAUCGUUUAUUAUCCAUGCUAGAAUUGUAUUGAUAGGAAACUCAGAUACAUGUGUGGAUACAUAGACAACACCAUGUCCCUAGUAAGCCUCUAGGAGACUAGCUCGUUGAUCAAUAGAUGGUUAUGGUUUCCUGACCAUGGACAUUGGAUGUCGUUGAUAACGGGAUCACAUCAUUAGGAGAAUGAUGUGAUGGACAAGACCCAAUCCUAAGCCUAGCACAAGAUCGUGUAGUUCGUUUGCUCAGAGCUUUUCUAAUGUCAAGUAUCACUUCCUUAGACCAUGAGAUUGUGCAACUCCCGGAUACCGUAGGAAUGCUUUGGGUGUACCAAACGUCACAACGUAACUGGGUGGCUAUAAAGGUGCACUACAGGUAUCUCCGAAAGUGUCUGUUGAGUUUGGCACGAAUCGAGACUGGGAUUUGUCACUCCGUGUAAACGGAGAGGUAUCUCUGGGCCCACUCGGUAGGACAUCAUCAUAAUGUGCACAAUGUGACCAAGGAGUUGAUCACGGGAUGAUGUGAGUUACGGAACGAGUAAAGAGACUUGCCGGUAACGAGAUUGAACAAGGUAUCAGGAUACCGACGAUCGAAUCUCGGGCAAGUAACAUACCGAUGGACAAAGGGAAUUGCAUACGGGAUUAAUUGAAUCCCCGACAUCGUGGUUCAUCCGAUGAAAUCAUCGUGGAACAUGUGGCAGCCAACAUGGGUAUCCAGAUCCCGCUGUUGGUUAUUGACCGGAGAACGUCUCGGUCAUGUCUGCAUGGUUCCCGAACCCGUAGGGUCUACACGCUUAAGGUUCGAUGACGCUAGGGUUAUAGGGAAAGCAUGUACGUGGUUACCGAAUGUUGUUCGGAGUCCCGGAUGAGAUCCCGGACGUCACGAGGAGUUCCGGAAUGGUCCGGAGGUAAAGAUUUAUAUAUGGGAAGUCCUGUUUUGGUCACCGGAAAAGUUUCGGGUGAAAUCGGUAAUGUACCGGGACCACCGGGAGGGUCCCGGGGGUCCACCAAGUGGGGCCACCAGCCCCAGAAGGCUGCGUGGGCCAAGUGUGGGAGGGGACCAGCCCCAGGUGGGCUGGUGCGCCCCCCCACCAAGGCCCAAGGCGCAUGGGAGAGUGGGAGGGGGCAAACCCUAGGUCCAGAUGGGCCUUAGGGCCCAUCUAGUGGGGCGCCUCCCCCUCUCCUCCCCUUGGCCGCCCCCCUUGAUGGGAUCUAGGGCUGGCUGCCUCCUCUUGGGGGUGGAAACCCUAAGGGGGGCGCAGCCCCCUUCCCCCCUAUAUAUACUUGAGGUUUGGGCUGCCAUACAGACACGAGAAAGUCUCCUUUUGGUGCUGCCCUACCCCUCUCCCUCCUCCUCCUCUCCCGCGGUGCUUGGCGAAGCCCUGCGGGAUUGCCACGCUCCUCCAUCACCACCACGCCGUCGUGCUGCUGCUGGAUGGAGUCUUCCCCAACCUCUCCCUCUCUCCUUGCUGGAUCAAGGCGUGGGAGACGUCACCGGGCUGCACGUGUGUUGAACGCGGAGGCACCGUUCUUUCGGUGCUUAGAUCGGAAUCAACCGCGAUCUGAAUCGCUACGAGUACGACUCCCUCAUCCGCGUUCUUGCAACGCUUCCGCAUCGCGAUCUACAAGGGUAUGUAGAUUCACUCCCCUUCCCCUCGUUGCUAGAUUACUCCAUAGAUUGAUCUUGGUGUUGCGUAGAAAAUUUUGAAUUUCUGCUACGUUCCCCAACAGUGGCAUCAUGAGCUAGGUCUAUGCGUAGUUUCUAUGCACGAGUAGAACACAAAGUAGUUGUGGGCGUCGAUGUUGUCAAUUCUUCUUGCCGCUACUAGUCUUAUCUUGUUUCGGCGGCAUUGUGGGAUGAAGCGGCCCGGACCGACCUUACACGUACUCUUACGUGAGACAGGUUCCACCGACUGACAUGCACUAGAUGCAUAAGGUGGCUAGCGGGUGUCUGUCUCUCCUACUUUAGUCGGAACGGAUUCGAUGAAAAGGGUCCUUAUGAAGGGUAAAUAGAAAUUGGCAAAUCACGUUGUGGUCAUACGUAGGUAAGAAACGUUCUUGCUAGAAACCUACAAACCACGUAAAAACUUGCAACAACAAUUAGAGGACGUCUAACUUGUUUUUGCAGCAAGUGCUAUGUGAUGUGAUAUGGCCAAAAGAUGUGAUGAAUGAUAUAUGUGAUGUAUGAGAUUGAUCAUAUUCUUGUAAUAGGAAUCACGACUUGCAUGUCGAUGAGUAUGACAACCGGCAGGAGCCAUAGGAGUUGUCUUUAUUAUUUUGCAUGACCUGCGUGUCAUUGAAUAACGCCAUGUAAUUUACUUUACUUUGUUGCUAAACGCGUUAGCCAUACAAGUAGAAGUAAUCGUUGGCGUGACGACUUCAUGAAGACACAAUGAUGGAGAUCAUGGUGUCAUGCCGGUGACAAAGAUGAUCAUGGUGCCCCGAAGAUGGAGAUCAAAGGAGCAUGAUGAUAUUGGCCAUAUCAUGUCACUAUUUGAUUGCAUGUGAUGUUUAUCAUGUUUUUGCAUCUUAUUUGCUUAGAACGACGGUAGCAAAUAGGAUGAUCCCUUAUAAUAAUUUCAAAAGUGUUCACCCUAACUGUGCACCGUUGCGAAGGUUCGUUGUUUCGAAGCACCACGUGAUGAUCGGGUGUGAUAGAUUCUAACGUUCGAAUACAACGGGUGUUGACGAGCCUAGCAUGUACAGACAUGGCCUCGGAACACACGCAAUACACUUAGGUUCACUUGACGAGCCUAGCAUGUACAGACAUGGCCUCGGAACACGGAGGACCGAAAGGUCGAGCAUGAGUCGUAUAGAAGAUACGAUCAACAUGGAGAUGUUCACCGAUCUUGACUAGUCCGUCUCACGUGAUGAUCGGACACGGCCUAGUCGAAUUCGGAUCAUGUUUCACUUAGAUGACGAGAGGGAUGUCUAUCUGAGUGGGAGUUCAUUAAAUAAUUUGAUUAUAUGAACUUAAUUAUCAUGAACUUAGUCUAAAAUCUUUACACUAUAUAUUGUAGAUCAAAUGGCCCACGUUGUCCUCAAUUUCAACGCGUUCCUAGAGAAAACCAAGCUGAAAGAUGAUGGCAGCAACUAUACGGACUGGGUCCGGAACCUGAGGAUCAUCCUCAUAGCAGCCAAGAAAGAUUAUGUCUUAGAAGCACCGCUAGGUGAAGCACCAAUCCCUGAGAACCAAGACAUUAUGAACGCUUGGCAGCAGCGUGCUGAUCAUUACUCCCUCGUUCAGUGCGGCAUGCUUUACAGCUUAGAACCGGGUCUCCAAAAGCGUUUUGAGAAACAUGGAGCAUAUGAGAUGUUCGAGGAGCUGAAACUGGUUUUUCAAGCUCAUGCCCGGGUCGAGAGAUAUGAUGUCUCCGACAAGUUCUUCAGCUGUAAAAUGGAGGAGAACAGUUCUGUUAGUGAGCACAUACUCAGAAUGUCUGGGUUGCACAACCGCUUGUCUCAGCUGGGAGUUAAUCUCCCGGAUGACGCGGUCAUUGACAGAAUCCUCCAGUCGCUUCCACCAAGCUACAAGAGCUUUGUGAUGAACUACAAUAUGCAGGGGAUGGAAAAGACCAUUCCCGAGGUAUAUUCAAUGCUGAAAUCAGCUGAGGUAGAGAUCAGAAAAGAACAUCAAGUGUUGAUGGUGAAUAAAACCACUAAGUUCAAGAAGGGCAAGGGUAAGAAGAACUUCAAGAAGGACGGCAAGGGAGUUGCCGCACCCGGUAAGCCAGUUACCGGGAAGAAGUCAAAGAAUGGACCCAAGCCCGAGACUGAGUGCUUUUAUUGCAAGGGAAGUGGUCACUGGAAGCGGAACUGCCCCAAAUAUUUAGCGGACAAGAAGAAGGCCGGCAACACCCAAGGUAUAUGUGAUAUACAAGUAAUUGAUGUGUACCUUACCAGUACUCGUAGUAGCUCCUGGGUAUUUGAUACCGGUGCGGUUGCUCAUAUUUGUAACUCAAAGCAGGAACUACGGAAUAAACGGAGACUGGCAAAGGACGAGGUGACGAUGCGCGUUGGGAAUGGUUCCAAGGUCGAUGUGAUCGCCGUCGGCACGCUACCUCUGCAUCUACCCACGGGAUUAGUUUUAAACCUCAAUAAUUGUUAUUUAGUGCCAGCUUUGAGCAUGAACAUUGUAUCUGGAUCUCGUUUAAUUCGAGAUGGCUACUCAUUUAAAUCCGAGAAUAAUGGUUGUUCUAUUUAUUUGAGAGAUAUGUUUUAUGGUCAUGCCCCGCUGGUCAAUGGUUUAUUUUUGAUGAAUCUCGAACAUGAUGUUACACAUGUUCAUAGUGUGAAUACCAAAAGAUGUAAAGUUGAUAACGAUAGUCCCACAUACUUGUGGCACUGCCGCCUUGGUCACAUUGGUGUCAAGCGCAUGAAGAAGCUCCAUGCAGAUGGACUUUUGGAGUCUCUUGAUUACGAAUCAUUUGACACGUGCGAACCAUGCCUCAUGGGUAAGAUGUGUUGGAAAUAUGCCCUAGAGGCAAUAAUAAAUAGGUUAUUAUUAUAUUUCCUUGUUCAUGAUAAUCGUUUAUUAUCCAUGCUAGAAUUGUAUUGAUAGGAAACUCAGAUACAUGUGUGGAUACAUAGACAACACCAUGUCCCUAGUAAGCCUCUAGUUGACUAGCUCGUUGAUCAAUAGAUGGUUACGGUUUCCUGACCAUGGACAUUGGAUGUCGUUGAUAACGGGAUCACAUCAUUAGGAGAAUGAUGUGAUGGACAAGACCCAAUCCUAAGCCUAGCACAAGAUCGUGUAGUUCGUUUGCUCAGAGCUUUUCUAAUGUCAAGUAUCACUUCCUUAGACCAUGAGAUUGUGCAACUCCCGGAUACCGUAGGAAUGCUUUGGGUGUGCCAAACGUCACAACGUAACUGGGGGGCUAUAAAGGUGCACUACGGGUAUCUCCGAAAGUGUCUGUUGGGUUGGCACGAAUCGAGACUGGGAUUUGUCACUCCGUGUAAACGGAGAGGUAUCUCUGGGCCCACUCGGUAGGACAUCAUCAUAAUGUGCACAGUGUGACCAAGGAGUUGAUCACGGGAUGAUGUGAGUUACGGAACGAGUAAAGAGACUUGCCGGUAACGAGAUUGAACAAGGUAUAGGGAUACCGACGAUCGAAUCUCGGGCAAGUAACAUACCGAUGGACAAAGGGAAUUGCAUACGGGAUUGAUUGAAUCCCCGACAUCGUGGUUCAUCCGAUGAGAUCAUUGUGGAACAUGUGGGAGCCAACAUGGGUAUCCAGAUCCCGUUGUUGGUUAUUGACCGGAGAACGUCUCGGUCAUGUCUGCAUGGUUCCCGAACCCGUAGGGUCUACACACUUAAGGUUCGAUGACGCUAGGGUUAUAGGGAAAGUAUGUACGUGGUUACCGAAUGUUAUUCGGAGUCCCGGAUGAGAUCCCGGACGUCACGAGGAGUUCCGGAAUGGUCCGGAGGUAAAGAUUUAUAUAUGGGAAGUCCUGUUUUGGUCACCAGAAAAGUUUCGGGUGAAAUCGGUAAUGUACCGGGACCACCGGGAGGGUCCCGGGGGUCCACCAAGUGGGGCCACCAGCCCCAGAAGGCUGCGUGGGCCAAGUGUGGGAGGGGACCAGCCCCAGGUGGGCUGGUGCGCCCCCCCCACCAAGGCCCAGGCGCAUGGGAGAGUGGGAGGGGGCAAACCCUAGGUCCAGAUGGGCCUUAGGGCCCAUCUAGUGGGGCGCCUCCCCCUCUCCUCCCCUUGGCCGCCCCCCUUGAUGGGAUCUAGGGCUGGCCGCCUCCUCUUGAGGGUGGAAACCCUAAAGGGGGCGCAGCCCCCUUCCCCCCUAUAUAUACUUGAGGUUUGGGCUGCCAUACAGACACGAGAAAGUCUCCUUUUGGUGCUGCCCUACCCCUCUCCCUCCUCCUCCUCUCCCGCGGUGCUUGGCGAAGCCCUGCGGGAUUGCCACGCUCCUCCAUCACCACCACGCCGUCGUGCUGCUGCUGGAUGGAGUCUUCCCCAACCUCUCCCUCUCUCCUUGCUGGAUCAAGGCGUGGGAGACGUCACCGGGCUGCACGUGUGUUGAACGCGGAGGCACCGUACUUUCGGUGCUUAGAUCGGAAUCAACCGCGAUCUGAAUCGCUACGAGUACGACUCCCUCAUCCGCGUUCUUGCAACGCUUCCGCAUCGCGAUCUACAAGGGUAUGUAGAUGCACUCCCCUUCCCUUCGUUGCUAGUAAACUCCAUAGAUUGAUCUUGGUGAUGCGUAGAAAAUUUUGAAUUUCUGCUACGUUCCCCAACAUUGAAAUAGUUUGCAAGAGUUAUAUAAAGAUAAUGCAUGUUAAAUUUCACACGUACCGACAAUAUAACACAGACACAAUUAUUUAAUAAUUAAAGUACAAUUUUGCAAUGUAAAUUGCCAAAAAGAAAAAUUAACGGCAUGUCCAUGUAACAAACUUAAUGGAGUUCCAACUAAACAUCUAUUAUAAAAUUAUUAAUAUCUAGGUUAUACGCUUAAGAAAUUCUUUCACAAUAUACGGAAAGUUGUCUUUAGCUUCAUUCCCACGAUGUUCUAGCAAGUAUAAUAAAAACUGCUUUCUCAACUCAUAUCCAUCCUGCACAAACAAUAUAUGUAGUUAGUAUGAAAAUAAGUAACAGACAAUACUCACCGCGCAAACCGGCUUGACCCGUUCCACCAGAGCAUAAAAUGAAUCAUCGCUAAUCAUAAUUCCCAUUAACAUCAACCAGUAUUCUUGGUGUUUAUUACUGUUAGUCAACUGGCAUUUCAAGUUUCAUUACUGCCUGAAAUGAAGGUUAUCACUCUAAAAUAGCAUGGUCAUAUUAGUGACCGUGCAAACUUCAAGAUUUAAAACCGAUAAGUAGGCCUUCAAAUUGGAAAGGGUGCACGUGCAGCGCACGUAAGUUUAGGAAUUUCUUCAUCAUUUUGAUUAUCUAAAUCAAUUUUUUUCAUAAUAGUUGUCACAAUAACAUGUUAUGUUUAACAAGAAUUGGUCUAAAUUGAAAUUUUAUAACAAUCCAAAGUCCAAUUUCGGCAAACAGCCUCCUCGCUAGCAAGAUGUGUCAGCACCAUCCAAUCGCCAUCUCGCAACUGUCAUCCUGGUGGUUUGGAUUUCUGAAUAUGUUUGUCUCUUUCCUGCCGCACGCAACACUUUAUCUCCAUGUCACGCCGAAUCUUCUUUUUGGGCUAUCAUCAGGGGAUUUUGUCUACCUAAAUAUAAUUACACACCAUGAAGACAAGCUCGAAUUGCUGGUGGCUUGGAUCGUCUCAACAACACCCAACCAAGAACCAACCGACCAGGCUCGAUCCUCUGCAAGGAGGGCAUACCAAAUCAUCUCCUUUUUUAUCAACACAGAUAGAAUGUUCAAAACAAUGCCAUCGUAAUCAACAUGGGCAAAACAUAGCAAAAAAUAAGGACAUGCUAUUGUUCUACGCGAGACAAUAAGCAACUUUAGCAUCCAGUGUCCCAUCAUCUACCAUGAAGAUUGGGAACUCCGUCGUUCCAAGAUAUGCUUCAAUAUUUCAAUAUUUCAAGAUUGGGAACUCAUUGCAUGUAACUUUUUUCUUGCUUGUUAGCAUAAAGCCAGACAUUGUCACCCCACAACAGAAAACAUUAAGGUUUCAAAACAAAAGAAAACAUUUGAACAAAAGAAAGUUAACAUAUAGCAGAUCUCAACCCAUCUUACAUCGCAAACUGUUAACCCCAAUAUUUCAUGAUCUGAAUGGGGGAAUUAAGGUUGGAUUUUGUCUCUGACGAAUCAGAUUUCUGGACAUUGUCAACAUCAAGAUUCCAUCGCAUGGUUUCAUAACAAUCAACCUGUACAUGGAUCUUUGAUUAAAUUCUAGCCACUACCAUGAAGCUCCCGGUCAGCAAGAGUUGUAUUUUUUUCUGUUUAAGCGGGCACCUAGUUUUUCUAAUACAUGGAUGUAAUUCUCCCCAUGUGGCUCAAAAGAAGCAUGAUGCCUGUGGGUUCCUGAACCUUGACCCAACGCCACCCAUUUAUUUGUGACAAUUUAUGCCCAAAUUUAUCUCAAACAAAAGGUAUGCCCAGAUCUGUAACACAAGCAGCUGAACAAUUUAAAAAUAUAAAUAUCCUAGCCUUCUUUUUCAUACGACUCAUGAGAUUCUACAGCAACAAAAAUGAUUUUACAUUGUUUUUCACACACACAUGAACCAGAGCUGCUAGGCAGCAAUAUUCCACCAUUUGACAAUAACUAUAACGAUAAAGAAUGACUACCAGACCAUAUCCUUUACUACAUAAUGGAAUACUAAUGUGCAAACAAAUGCCACCAUUGCUCCUGAAGUAUUCAUAUCAUCGAGUAAGAAUGGUUGCAUGUUUAUCACCUUUUCCAAUCCAAUGAAACUGAUGUUAUAACACAUUACACAUGCUAUGAAAGAAAUUGAUGAGAACAAUAUUACAUUUGCUCUUACUGCAAAUCAACACCAACAAAUCUAUAAUAGGUUCAUGCAUAAAGCAAGUGAAUUUGAAAAAGAAACCAGAACCUUAUUAAGUGAUCCUAAUUCCAUGCGAAGUUGCCUAGGAAAAAUAGAAGUGGAGGAUCAAGGUGGAUUCCAAAUAAUAGUAAUAUAAUACUCCUUCAAGGUAAAAAAAUGAAAUCUAGUGGGUACAAGCAUUUUGAAUAAUAAACAAAAUUAAGAUCUAACUAUAUACGUGCAAUACAUGUUUCUAAAAUUCAAAGUAUGUAUGAAUAUAUGUAAAUAAAAGUUUUGCUUAGGUCAUAAUUUUUCAUACUUCACAAUCAUCUUAUCCUGUCAAAUCAUUGGUGCACAUCCCCAUUGUGCAGGAUUUUUUUGGAACUUCCUAUCUCCACUUACAUCAUGGAUAGCAUACAGCAAAGGUUAAUUAAAAUUCAAUAGACUUCUAUGAGAUGACAUGAGUGACGAUCGGUGCAGGUUUAUGGCAUUGAGCAUCAUCUACUAACCCUUCAAAAUGAUGAUUUUCAUUUGGACCAAGUACAUCUCAAGCUGCAAGCACAAUAAAAUCACCAUGGGCUUGGAGCCCACCAUAUCUCCACGUUCCUGCAUGUGAAGAAUUAACCAGUGCCCCAAGUCAGAACUACUGCUAACCUCAUUCAUGUAGACCUUACUAAAAAUUCAGAAAAUAUGCAGAGUAUCCAUUUUUGUUAACCUAGCUAUCUGCAGUCCAAGACAGAGCGUGACCAUAAUCCACACUACAACACAUGAAUAUAGCUACCUUAUGGGGCAUAUAUGCCUAAUCCUCAUAUCUUGUUGUUUGGAAAAGAGUUGACCAUUUGCACAUAGUAUAGAAUGGCGAAGAUUGAACAUGCUCUCGUACAAUUGGGGAAUGGUGUGGAGCUCCAUAAGCGACGGCGGCGAUGCCGGCUACAGUUGUUCUGACAGGAACUAAUUUGCUUACUCUUCGUUUUCAGUUAACCACAUAGUACUACACUGCCAUAUACAAAAUCAGGAGAGGAAGGUACCUUCUGUACGCCCACUGCACGGGAGAGUUUUGUGGCGGACUGUAUACCUGGACGCGAUAAUCUUGUUUCGGAGGAGCGCCCAACUGCGGCAUGGAGGUCAGAGAGGGGUGAGAGCCGGACCAGUGUGAUUCACACAGUGCAAACCUGAUAAACAAAACGCAAAAGUCCAGCACCUGGUUUACUGCAAGGAGCUCGCUGGUGUCCAGAUUCAACCUGAGGUAGACUUGCCCAUUAUCUCGCCCUUCCGCCAUCGGAUCGGCGGGAUGUCCCCUGCUCAGCCGCUCCCGUCGACAGGUACGGCCGUCCGCGACUGCAGGCGUUGUGGCGGCGAGGGACUCUUGGAGAUGCGAUCGAGCAGCCUACCCCUUGACUUGCAGAGGCAGGAGCUGAUAUGGACGCCGAUCCCACUCAGGGGCCCGGCGGAGUGCUGGUGCAGACUUGAUGAUUCGACACAUGAAGUCGAAUAGAUCAUGGAACCCGGCACCGCCGCCGGCAUCAGCGGGGUCCCGUCGCAUGGGUCGUGGUCUAGGCUCGGGGCUCGUGUCGACGGCGGCAUGGAGGUAAGAGAGGUGAGAGCCUGCUGGCCGUGCCCUUCCUCCCCUCCCUUCCUUCUGUUCUCCCUGGAACCGCAGCAGGCCAUGGAGGAGCUCAGCCGCCGCCGUCGUCCCUCCGACUCUCGCCGGAGCCGUCCGUCGUCGACCCGAUCCUGCUGCCAUCCGCCAGAUCCACAGCAGCCCCGCCGGAGCCCACAACUUGGCCAUCACCAUUCCCUCGAGAUGUCGCCGCCUCCCCGUGUUGACCGCGUCGCUCACCUGCAUUCAGGGAUCUUUCGAUAUCGGAUUGUGUUUUCCUUUCCUUGGAUUAGGAAACGAUGUACCGGGGUCGACGCGGGGCGCGCGGAACGUUUGGUACGGCAGAGUUUUCGUCCGCCCAGGUAAAUUGCUAAGCGCGUUUUUGGCUCUGGAUUAGAUUAAAUUAAGUGAUUCUGAUCGUGUGGUUAUAAUUGAGCUAUGUUGUUAUGUGUACGUUAGGCUGGGUACACUUAGCAAUGUACAUGUUUUCUUCUUUAAUAAGUAGUAGAGAUGGUUUACCUAUGAAUUUCUUUAAAUCCAUUAUUUGUUUCCUCAAAAUCUAUUAUUUAUUUCCUAAAGCAAAUUGCAUUAAUGAGAGAAAUUCACUGAUUUGGUUAAGGUAGGAAAGAAUCUAUUAUUUGUUUCCUAAAGCAAAUUCCAUUAAUGGAAGAGAUCCGUUGAUUUGGCUAAGGUAGGAAAGAAUCUAUCAUUUGUUUCCUAAAGCAAAUUGCAUUUAUGAAAGAGAUUCGUUGAUUUGGCUAAGCUAGGAAAGUUAGAUCCGUGAUCUUUUGUCAUUAGGAAAGUGUUGAAAAUAAACCGUAUUAAAUCCAUUAUUUGUUUCCUGAAAAUCUAUUAUUUAUUUCCUAAAGCAAAUUGCAUUAAUGAGAGAAAUUCACUGAUUUGGUUAAGGUAGGAAAGAAUCUAUUAUUUGUUUCCUAAAGCAAAUUCCAUUAAUGGAAGAGAUCCAUUGAUUUGGCUAAGGUAGGAAAGAAUCUAUUAUUUCUUUCCUAAAGCAAAUUGCAUUUAUGAAAGAGAUUCGUUGAUUUGGCUAAGCUAGGAAAGUUAGAUCCGUGAUCUUUUGUCAUUAGGAAAGUGUUGAAAAUAAACCGUACCGGACUACCAACUCCUCCAUUAGGUUUUUUUUCGCUGGUUAAUCUUGGUAGGUCUUUUUUCGUUGGUUAACCUUCGUAGGUCUAUUUUUUGGUACGUGGAUGGGUGCGUGUUGGGGCCUCAGGAGGAGGUUUUUUCAGUUUCUGGUGGAUAAGUAAGAGGUGGGAGUGAGGACGAAAAAAAACCGGACGAAAAUGGUGGGACGAAAAUAAACCCGGAACGGAGACUACCAACUGCUCCAUUAGGAGUAGAGACUCCCUAGUCCUAGUAGGAUUCCACCUCCCAUAUGGAAUAGGAAAAGAGGAAGGGAAAAAGAGAAGGAAGGAAGGGGCGCAACGCCUUCCCUAGUCCAAUUCGGACCAGAGGAGGGGUGCGGCCACCCUUGAGGCCCUUUUUCUUCUUUCCCGUAUGGCCCAAUAAGGCCCAAUACGUAUUCCCGUAACUCUCCGGUACUCCGAAAAAUACCCGAUCACUCGGAACCUUUCCGAAGUCUGAAUAUAGUCGUCCAAUAUAUCGAUCUUUACGUCUCGGCCAUUUCGAGACUCCUCGUCAUGUCCCCGAUCUCAUCCGGGACUCCGAACUCCUUCGGUACAUCAAAACUCAAUAAAACUGUCAUCGUAACGUUAAGCGUGCGGACCCUACGGGUUCGAGAACUAUGUAGACAUGACCGAGACACGUCUCCGGUCAAUAACCAAUAGCGGGACCUGGAUGCCCAUAUUGGCUCCCACAUAUUCUACGAAGAUCUUUAUCGGUCAGACCGCAUAACAACAUACGUUGUUCCCUUUGUCACCGGUAUGUUACUUGCCCGGGAUUUGAUCGUCGGUAUCUCGAUACCUAGUUCAAUCUCGUUACCGGCAAGUCUCUUUACUCGUUCCGUAACACAUCAUCCCGCAACUAACUUAUUAGUCACAAUGCUUGCAAGGCUUAUACUGAUGUGCAUUACCGAGUGGGCCCAGAGAUACCUCUCCGACAAUCGGAGUGACAAAUCCUAAUCUCGAAAUACGCCAACCCAACAAGUACCUUUGGAGACACCUGUAGAGCACCUUUAUAAUCACCCACUUACGUUGUGACGUUUGGUAGCACACAAAGUGUUCCUCCGGUAAACGGGAGUUGCAUAAUCUCAUAGUCAUAGGAACAUGUAUAUGUCAUGAAGAAAGCAAUAGCAACAUACUAAACGAUCGAGUGCUAAGCUAACGGAAUGGGUCAAGUCAAUCACAUCAUUCUCCUAAUGAGGUGAUCUCGUUAAUCAAAUGACAACUUAUAUCUAUGGCUAGGAAACAUAACCAUCUUUGAUUAACGAGCUAGUCAAGUAGAGGCAUACUAGUGACACUCUGUUUGUCUAUAUAUUCACACAUGUAUUAUGUUUCCGGUUAAUACAAUUCUAGCAUGAAUAAUAAACAUUUAUCAUGAUACAAGGAAAUAAAUAAUACUUUAUUAUUGCCUCUAGGGCAUAUUUCCUUCAGUCUCCCACUUGCACUAGAGUCAAUAAUCUAGUUCACAUCGCCAUGUGAUUUAACAUUAAUAAUUCACAUCACCAUGUGAUUAACACCCAUAGUUCACAUCUCUAUGUGACCAACACUCAAAGGGUUUACUAGAGUCAAUAAUCUAGUUCACAUCGCUAUGUGAUUAACACCCAAAGAGUACUAAGGUGUGAUCAUGUUUUGAUUGUGAGAUAAUUUUAGUCAACGGGUCUGUCAUAUUCAGAUCCGUAAGUAUUUUGCAAAUUUCUAUGUCUACAAUGCUCUGCACGGAGCUACUCUUAGCUAAUUGCUCCCACUUUCAAUAUGUAUCUAGACCGAGACUUAGAGUCAUCUAGAUUAGUGUCAAAAACUUGCAUUGACGUAACCCUUUACGACGAACCUUUUGUCACUUCCAUAAUCGAGAAACAUAUCCUUAUUCCACUAAGGAUAAUUUUGACCGCUGUCCAGUGAUCUACUCCUAGAUCACUAUUGUACUCCCUUGCCAAAAUCAGUGUAGGGUAUACAAUAGAUCUGGUACACAGCAUGGCAUACUUUAUAGAAUCUAUGGCCAAGGCAUAGGGAAUGACUUUCAUUCUAUUUCUAUCUUCUGCCGUGGUCGGGUUUUGAGUCUUACUCAAUUUCACACCUUGUAAUACAGGCAAGAACUCUUUCUUUGACUGUUCUAUUUUGAACUACUUCAAAAUCUUGUUAAGGUAUGUACUCAUUGAAUAAACUUAUCAAGCGUCUUGAUCUAUCUCUAUAGAUCUUGAUGCUCAAUAUGUAAGCAGCUUCACCGAGGUCUUGCUUUGAAAAACUUCUUUCAAACACUCCUUUAUGCUUUGCAGAAUAAUUCUACAUUAUUUCCGAUCAACAAUAUGUCAUUCACAUAUACUUAUCAGAAAUGUUGUAGUGCUCCCACUCACUUUCUUGUAAAUACAGGCUUCACCGCAAGUCUGUAUAAAACUAUAUCCUUUGAUCAACUUAUCAAAGUGUAUAUUCCAACUCUGAGAUGCUUGCACCAGUCCAUAGAUGGAUCCCUAGAGAUUGCAUAUUUUGUUAGCACUUUUAGGAUUGACAAAACUUCCUGGUUGCAUCAUAUACAACUCUUCUUUAAUAAAUCCAUUAAGGAAUGCAGUUUUGUUUAUCCAUUUGCCAUAUUUCAUAAAAUGCGGCAAUUGCUAACAUGAUUCAGACAGACUUAAGCAUAGAUACGAGUGAGAAACUCUUAUCGUAGUCAACACCUUGAACUUGUCGAAAAACCCUUUUUGUGACAAUUCUAGCUUUGUAGAUAGUAACACUACUAUCAGCGUCCGUCUUCCUCUUGACGAUCCAUUUAUUCUCAAUUGCUUGCCGAUCAUCGGGCAAGUCAACCAAAGUCCACAUUUUGUUCUCAUACAUGGAUCUCAUCUCAGAUUUCAUGGCCUCAAGCCAUUUUGCGGAAUCUGGGCUCACCAUCGCUUCUUCAUAGUUCGUAGGUUCGUCAUGGUCUAGUAACAUAACCUCCAGAACAGGAUUACCGUACCACUCUGGUGCAGAUCUUACUCUGGUUUACCUACGAGGUUUGGUAGUAACUUGAUCUGAAGUUACAUGAUCAUCAUCAUUAACUUCCUCACUAAUUGGUGUAUAAGUCAUAGGAACAGAUUUCUGUGAUGAACUACCUUCCAAUAAGGGAGCAGGUACAGUUACCUCAUCAAGUUCUACUUUCCUCCCACUCACUUCUUUCGAGAGAAACUCCUUCUCUAGAAAGGAUCCAUAUUAAGCAACGAAUGUCUUGCCUCCGGAUCUAUGAUAGAAGGUGUACCCAACUGUCUCCUUUGGGUAUCCUAUGAAGACAUAUUUCUCCGAUUUGGGUUUGAGCUUAUCAGGAUGAAACUUUUUCACAUAAGCAUCGCAACCCCAAAUUUUAAGAAACGACAACUUUGGUUUCUUGCCAAACCACAGUUCAUAAGGCGUCGUCUCAACGGAUUUCGAUGGUGCCCUAUUUAACGUGAAUGCAGCUGUCUCUAAUGCAUAACCCCAAAACGAUAGUGGUAGAUCGAUAAGAUACAUCAUAUAUCGCACCAUAUCUAAUAAAGCACGAUUACGACGUUCGGACACACCAUUACACCGUGGUGUUCCAGGUGGCGUGAGUAGUGAAACUAUUUCACAUUGUUUUAACUGAAGGCCAAACUCGUAACUCAAAUACUCUUCUCCAUGAUCAUAUCGUAGAAACUUUAAAUUUCUUGUUACGAUGAUUUUCCGCUUCACUCUGAAAUUAUAUGAACUUUUCAAAUGUUUCAGACUUCUGUUUCAUUAAGUAGAUAUACCCAUAUCUGCUCAAAUCAUCUGUGAAGGUCAGAAAAUAAUGAUACCCGCUACGAGCCUCAGUAUUCAUCGGACCACAUACAUCUGUAUGUAUGAUUUCCAACAAAUCUGUUGCUCUCUCCAUAGUUCCGGAGAACGGUGUUUUAGUCAUCUUGCCCAUGAGGCACGGUUCGCAAGCAUCAAGUGAUUCCAAAAUCCCAUCAGUAUGGAGUUUCUUCAUGCGCUUUACACCAAUAUGACCUAAACGGCAGUGCCACAAAUAAGUUGCACUAUCAUUAUUAACUUUGCAUCUUUUGGCUUCAUUAUUAUGAAUAUGUGUAUCACUACGAUCGAGAUCCAACAAACCAUUUUCGUUGGUGUGUAUGACCAUAGAAGGUUUUAUUCAUGUAAACAGAACAACAAUUGUUCUCUAACUUAAAUGAAUAACCGUAUUGCAAUAAACAUGAUCAAAUCAUAUUCAUGCUCAACGCAAACACCAAAUAACACUUAUUUAGUUUCAACACUAAUCCCGAAAGUAUAGGGAGUGUGCGAUGAUGAUCAUAUCAAUCUUGGAACUACUUCCAACACACAUCGUCACCUCGCCUUUUACUAGUCUCUGUUUAUUCUGGAACUCCCGUUUUCGAGUUACUACUCUUUAGCAACUGAACCAGUAUUAAAUACUGAGGGGUUGCUAUAAACACUAGUAAGUACACAUCAAUAACAUGUAUAUCCAAUAUACCUUUGUUCACUUUGCCAUCCUUCUUAUCCACCAAAUACUUGGGGCAGUUCCACCUCCAGUGACCAGUCCCUUUGCAGUAGAAGCACUUAGUCUCAGGCUUAGGUACAGACUUGGGCUUCUUCACUUGAGUAGCAACUUGCUUGCCGUUCUUUUUUUUGAAGUUCCCCUUCUUCCCUUUGCCCUUUUCUCGAAACUAGUGGUCUCGUCAACCAUCAACACUUGAUGUUUUUCUUGAUUUCUACCUUCGUCGAUUUCAGCAUCACGAAGAGCUCGGGAAUUACUUUCGUCAUCCCUUGCAUACUAUAGUUCAUCACGAAGUUCUACUAACUUGGUGAUGGUGACUAGAGAAUUCUGUCAAUCACUUAUUUUAUCUGGAAGAUUAACUCCCACUUGAAUCAAGCGAUUGUAGUACCCAGACAAUCUGAGCACAUGCUCACUAGUUGAGCGAUUCUCCUCCAUCUUUUAGCUAUAGAACUUGUUGGAGACUUCAUAUCUCUCAACUCGGGUAUUUGCUUGAAAUAUUAACUUCAACUCCUGGAACAUCUCAUAUGGUCCAUGACGUUCAAAACGUCUUUGAAAUCCCGAUUCUAAGCCGUUAAGCAUGGUGCACUAAACUAUCAAGUAGUCAUCAUAUUGAGCUAGUCAAACGUUCAUAACGUCUGCAUCUGCUCCUGCAAUUGGUCUGUCACCUAGCAGUGCAUCAAGGACAUAAUUUUUCUGUGCAGCAAUGAGGAUACUCCUCAGAUCACGGAUCCAAUCCGCAUCUUUGCUACUAACAUCUUUCAACAUAAUUUUCUCUAGGAAUCAUAUCAAAAAUAAACACAGGGAAGCAACAACGCGAGCUAUUGAUCUACAACAUAAUUUGCAAAAUACUAUCAAGACUAAGUUCAUGAUAAAUUUAAGUUCAAUUAAUCAUAUUACUUAAGAACUCCCACUUAGAUAGACAUCCCUCUAAUCCUCUAAGUGAUCACGUGAUCCAUAUCAACUAAACCAUGUCCGAUCAUCACGUGAGAUGGAGUAGUUUCAACGGUGAACAUCACUAUGUUGAUCAUAUCUACUAUAUGAUUCACGCUCGAACUUUCGGUCUCCGUGUUUCGAGGCCAUAUCUGUUAUAUGCUAGGCUCGUCAAGUUUAACCGGAGUAUUCCGCGUGUGCAACAGUUUUGCACCCGUUGUAUUUGAACGUAGAGCCUAUCACACCCGAUCAUCACGUGGUGUCUCAGCACGAAGAACUUUCGCAACGGUGCAUACUCAGGGAGAACACUUAUACUUUGAUAAUUUAGUGAAGGAUCAUCUUCUAAUGCUACCGUCAAACAAAGCAAGAUAAGAUGCAUAAAGGAUUAACAUCACAUGCAAUCAAUAUAAGUGAUAUGAUAUGGCCAUCAUCAUCUUGUGCUUGUGAUCUCCAUCUCCGAAACACCGUGCUUGUGAUCUCCAUCUCCGAAGCACCGUCAUGAUCACCAUCGUCACCGGCGCGACACCUUGAUCUCCAUCGUAGUAUCGUUGUCAUCUCGCCAACUAAUUGCUUUUACGACUAUCGCUACCGCUUAGUGAUAAAGUAAAACUAUUACAUGGCGAUUGCAUUUCAUACAAUAAAGCGACAACCAUAUGGCUCCUGCCAGUUGCCGAUAACUUGGUUACAAAACAUGAUCAUCUCAUACAACAAAUUAUAUCACAUCAUGUCUUGACCAUAUCACAUCACAACAUGCCCAGCAAAAACAAGUUAGACGUCCUCUAUUUUGUUGUUGCAAGUUUUCCGUGGCUGCUACGGGCUUAGCAAGAACCGUUCUUACCUACGCAUCAAAACCACAACGAUAGUUUGUCAAGUUGGUGCUGUUUUAACCUUCGCAAGGACCGGGCGUAGCCACACUCGGUUCAACUAAAGUGAGAGAGACAGACACCCGCUAGUCACCUUUAAGCAACGAGUGCUCCGAACGGUGAAACCAGUCUCGCGUAAGCGUACGCGUAAUGUCGGUCCGGGCUGCUUCAUCUCACAAUACCGCUGAACCAAAGUAUGACAUGCUGGUAAGCAGUAUGACUUAUAUCGCCCAGAACUCACUUGUGUUCUACUCGUGCAUAGCAUCAACGCAUAAAACCAGGCUCGGAUGCCACUGUUGGGGAACGUAGUAAUUUCAAAAAAAUUCCUACGCACACGCAAGAUCAUGGUGAUGCAUAGCAACGAGAGGGGAGAGUGUUGUCCACGUACCCUCGUAGACCGACAGCGGAAGCGUUAUCACAACGCGGUUGAUGUAGUCGUACGUCUUCACGAUCCGACCGAUCAAGUACCGAACGUACGGCACCUCCGAGUUCUACACACGUUCAGCUCGAUGACGUCCCUCGAACUCCGAUCCAGCCGAGUGUUGAGGGAGAGUUUCGUUAGCACGACGGCGUGGUGACGAUGAUGAUGUUCCACCGACGCAGGGCUUCGCCUAAGCUCCGCAACGGUAUUAUCGAGGUGUAAUAUGGUGGAGGGGGGCACCGCACACGGCUAGGAGAUCUCAAGGAUCAGUUGUUGUGUCUCUGGGGUGCCCCCCUGCCCCCGUAUAUAAAGGAGCAAGGGAGGAGGAGGCCGGCCCUAGGAGGGGGCGCACCAAGUGUGGAGUCCUACUAGGACUCCCUAGUCCUAGUAGGAUUCCACCUCCCAUAUGGAAUAGGAAAAGAGGAAGGGAAAAAGAGAAGGAAGGAAGGGGGCGCCCCCCUUCCCUAGUCCAAUUCGGACCAGACCAAGGGGAGGGGUGCGGCCACCCUUGAGGCCCUUUUUCUUCUUUCCCGUAUGGCCCAAUAAGGCCCAAUACGUAUUCCCGUAACUCUCCGGUACUCCGAAAAAUACCCGAAUCACUCGGAACCUUUCCGAAGUCCAAAUAUAGUUGUCUAAUAUAUCAAUCUUUACGUCUCGGCCAUUUCGAGACUCCUCGUCAUGUCCCCGAUCUCAUCCGGGACUCCGAACUCCUUCGGUACAUCAAAACUCAAUAAAACUGUCAUCGUAACGUUAAGCGUGCGGACCCUACGGGUUCGAGAACUAUGUAGACAUGACCGAGACACGUCUCCGGUCAAUAACCAAUAGCGGGACCUGGAUGCCCAUAUUGGCUCCCACAUAUUCUACGAAGAUCUUUAUCGGUCAGACCGCAUAACAACAUACGUUGUUCCCUUUGUCACCGGUAUGUUACUUGCCCGGGAUUUGAUCGUCGGUAUCUCGAUACCUAGUUCAAUCUCGUUACCGGCAAGUCUCUUUACUCGUUCCGUAACACAUCAUCCCGCAACUAACUUAUUAGUCACAAUGCUUGCAAGGCUUAUACUGAUGUGCAUUACCGAGUGGGCCCAGAGAUACCUCUCCGACAAUCGGAGUGACAAAUCCUAAUCUCGAAAUACGCCAACCCAACAAGUACCUUUGGAUACACCUGUAGAGCACCUUUAUAUGUUGGAAAUAUGCCCUAGAGGCAAUAAUAAAUGGUUAUUAUUAUAUUUCUUUGUUCAUGGUAAUUGUCUAUUAUUCAUGCUAUAAUAGUAUUGUCCGGAAAUCGUAAUACAUGUGUGAAUGCAUAGACCACAACGUGUCCCUAGUAAGCCUCUAGUUGACUAGCUCGUUGAUCAACAGAUAGUCAUGGUUUCCUGACUAUGGACAUUGGAUGUCAUUGAUAACGGGAUCACAUCAUUAGGAGAAUGAUGUGAUGGACAAGACCCAAUCCUAAGCAUAGCAUAAAAGAUCGUGUAGUUUCGUUUGCUAGAGCUUUUCCAAUGUCAAGUAUCUUUUCCUUAGACCAUGAGAUCGUGCAACUCCCGGAUACCGUAAGAGUACUUUGGGUGUGCCAAACGUCACAACGUAACUGGGUGACUAUAAAGGUGCACUACGGGUAUCUCCGAAAGUGUCUGUUGGGUUGGCACGGAUCGAGACUGGGAUUUGUCACUCCGUGUGACGGAGAGGUAUCUCUGGGCCCACUCGGUAAUGCAUCAUCAUAAUGAGCUCAAUGUGACUAAGGCGUUAGUCACGGGAUCAUGCAUUGCGGUACGAGUGAAGAGACUUGCCGGUAACGAGAUUGAACAAGGUAUUGGGAUACCGACGAUCGAAUCUCGGGCAAGUAACAUACCGAUUGACAAAGGGAAUUGUAUACGGGAUUGAUUGAAUCCUCGACAUCGUGGUUCAUCCGAUGAGAUCAUCGUGGAACAUGUGGGAGCCAACAUGGGUAUCCAGACCCCGCUGUUGGUUAUUGACCGGAGAGGCGUCUCGGUCAUGUCUGCAUGUCUCCCGAACCCGUAGGGUCUACACACUUAAGGUUCGGUGACGCUAGGGUUGUAGAGAUAUAUGUAUGCGGAAACCCGAAAGUUGUUCGGAGUUCCGGAUGAGAUCCCGGACGUCACGAGAGGUUCCGGAAUGGUCCGGAGGUGAAGAAUUAUAUAUAGGAAGUCAAGUUUCGGCCACCGGGAAAGUUUCGGGGGUUACCGGUAUUGUACCGGGACCACCGGAAGGGUCCCGGGGGUCCACCGGGUGGGGCCACCUAUCCCGGAGGGCCCCGUGGGCUGAAAGUGGAAGGGAACCAGCCCUUAGUGGGCUGGGGCGCCCCCCUUGGGCCUCCCCCCAUGCGCCUAGGGUUGGGAACCCUAGGGGGGAGCUUCCCCCUUGCCUUGGGGGGCAAGGCACCCCUUUCCACCCCUUGGCCGCCGCCCCCCCAACCCUAGAUGGGUUUUGGCCGGGCCCCCCUCCCAAGGGGGCCUAUAUAAAGGGGGGAGGGAGGGCAGCAACACACAGCCUUGGGCGCCUCCCUCCUCCCCUGCAACACCUCUCUCUCUCUCUCUCGCAGAAGCUCGGCGAAGCCCUGCUAGAGACCCGCUACAUCCACCACCACGCCGUCGUGCUGCUGGAUCUCCAUCAACCUCUCCUUCCCCCUUGCUGGAUCAACAAGGAGGAGACGUCGCUGCACCAUACGUGUGUUGAACGCGGAGGUGCCGUCCGUUCGGCACUCGGUCAUCGUUGAUUUGGAUCACGGCGAGUACGACUCCGUCAUCCACGUUCAUUGGAACGCUUCCGCUCGCGAUCUAGAAGGGUAUGUAGAUGCACUCCUUUCCCCUCGUUGCUAGUAGACUCCAUAGAUGCAUCUUGGUGAGCGUAGAAAUUUUUUAAAUUAUGCUACGAUUCCCAACAUUGGCAUCAUGAGCCAGGCCUAUGCGUAGUUACUAUGCACGAGUAGAACACAAAGAAGUUGUGGGCGUUGAUGUUGCCAAUUCUUCUUGCCGCUACUAGUCGUUUCUUGUUUCGGCGGCAUUGUAGGAUGAAGCGGCCUGGACCGACCUUACACGUACGCUUACGUGAGACAGGUUCCACCGACUGACAUGCACUAGUUGCAUAAGUUGGCUAGCGGGUGUCUGUCUCUCCUACUUUAGUCGGAACGGAUUCGAUGAAAAGGGUCCUUAUGAAGGGUAAAUAGAAAUUGGCAAAUCACGUUGUGGUCAUACGUAGGUAAGAAAAUGUUCUUGCUAGAAACUUACAAACCACGUAAAAACUUGCAACAACAAUUAGAGGACGUCUAACUUGUUUUUGCAGCAAGUGCUAUGUGAUGUGAUAUGGCCAGAAGAUGUGAUGAAUGAUAUAUGUGAUGUAUGAGAUUGAUCAUAUUCUUGUAAUAGGAAUCACGACUUGCAUGUCGAUGAGUAUGACAACCGGCAGGAGCCAUAGGAGUUGUCUUUAUUAUUUUGCAUGACCUGCGUGUCAUUGAAUAACGCCAUGUAAAUUACUUUACUUUGUUGCUAAACGCGUUAGCCAUAGAAGUAGAAGUAAUCGUUGGCGUGACGACUUCAUGAAGACACAAUGAUGGAGAUCAUGAUGAUGGAGAUCAUGGUGUCAUGCCGGUGACGAAGAUGAUCAUGGUGCCCCGAAGAUGGAGAUCAAAGGAGCAUGAUGAUAUUGGCCAUAUCAUGUCAUUAUUUGAUUGCAUGUGAUGUUUAUCAUGUUUUUGCAUCUUAUUUGCUUAGAACGACGGUAGUAAGUAAGAUGAUCCCUUAUAAUAAUUUCAAGAAAGUGUUCACCCUAACUGUGCACCGUUGCGAAGGUUCGUUGUUUCGAAGCACCACGUGAUGAUCGGGUGUGAUAGAUUCUAACGUUCGAAUACAACGGGUGUUGACGAGCCUAGCAUGUACAGACAUGGCCUCGGAACACACGCAAUACACUUAGGUUGACUUGACGAGCCUAGCAUGUACAGACAUGGCCUCGGAACACGGAGGACCGAAAGGUCGAGCAUGAGUCGUAUAGAAGAUACGAUCAACAUGGAGAUGUUCACCGAUCUUGACUAGUCCGUCUCACGUGAUGAUCGGACACGGCCUAGUUGAAUUCGGAUCAUGUUUCACUUAGAUGACUAGAGGGAUGUCUAUCUGAGUGGGAGUUCAUUAAAAAUUUGAUUAGAGGAACUUAAUUAUCAUGAACUUAGUCUAAAAUCUUUACACUAUGUCUUGUAGAUCAAAUGGCCAACGUUGUCCUCAAUUUCAAUGCGUUCCUAGAGAAAACCAAGCUGAAAGAUGAUGGCAGCAACUAUACGGACUGGGUCCGGAACCUGAGGAUCAUCCUCAUAGUAGCCAAGAAAGAUUAUGUCUUAGAAGCACCGCUAGGUGAAGCACCAAUCCCAGAGAACCAAGACGUUAUGAACGCUUGGCAGCAGCGUGCUGAUGAUUACUCCCUCGUUCAGUGCGGCAUGCUUUACAGCUUAGAACCGGGUCUCCAAAAGCGUUUUGAGAAACAUGGAGCAUAUGAGAUGUUCGAGGAGCUGAAACUGGUUUUUCAAGCUCAUGCCCGGGUCGAGAGAUAUGAAGUCUCCGACAAGUUCUUCAGCUGUAAAAUGGAGGAGAACAGUUCUGUUAGUGAGCACAUACUCAGAAUGUCUGGGUUGCACAACCGCUUGUCUCAGCUGGGAGUUAAUCUCCCGGAUGACGCGGUCAUUGACAGAAUCCUCUAGUCGCUUCCACCAAGCUACAAGAGCUUUGUGAUGAACUACAAUAUGCAGGGGAUGGAAAAGACCAUUCCCGAGGUAUAUUCAAUGCUGAAAUCAGCGGAAGGGGAGAUCAGAAAAGAACAUCAAGUGUUGAUGGUGAAUAAAACCACUAAGUUCAAGAAGGGCAAGGGUAAGAAGAACUUCAAGAAGGACGGCAAGGGAGUUGCCGCGCCCGGUAAACCAGUUACUGGGAAGAAGUCAAAGAAUGGACCCAAGCCCGAGACUGAGUGCUUUUAUUGCAAGGGAAGUGGUCACUGGAAGCGGAACUGCCCCAAAUACUUAGCGGACAAGAAGGCCGGCAACACCAAAGGUAUAUGUGAUAUACAUGUAAUUGAUGUGUACCUUACCAGUACUCGUAGUAGCUCCUGGGUAUUUGAUACCGGUGCGGUUGCUCAUAUUUGUAACUCAACACAGGAACUACAGAAUAAACGGAGACUGGCGAAGGACGAGGUGACGAUGCGCGUCGGGAAUGGUUCCAAGGUCGAUGUGAUCGCCGUCGGCACGCUACCUCUGCAUCUCCCUACGGGAUUAGUUUUAAACCUCAAUAAUUGUUAUUUAGUGCCAGCUUUGAGCAUGAACAUUGUAUCUGGAUCUCGUUUAAUUCGAGAUGGCUACUCAUUUAAAUCCGAGAAUAAUGGUUGUUCUAUUUAUUUGAGAGAUAUGUUUUAUGGUCAUGCCCCGCUGGUCAAUGGUUUAUUCUUGAUGAAUCUCGAACGUGAUGUUACACAUGUUCAUAGUGUGAAUACCAAAAGAUGUAAAGUUGAUAACGAUAGUCCCACAUACUUGUGGCACUGCCGCCUUGGUCACAUUGGUGUCAAGCGCAUGAAGAAGCUCCAUGCAGAUGGACUUUUGGAGUCUCUUGAUUACGAAUCAUUUGACACAUGCGAACCAUGCCUCAUGUAAGAUGACCAAGACUCCGUUCUCCGGAACAAUGGAGCGAGCAACCAACUUAUUGGAAAUCAUACAUACCGAUGUGUGCGGUCCAAUGAGUGUUGAGGCUCGCGGAGGAUAUCGUUAUGUUCUCACUCUCACUGAUGACUUAAGUAGAUAUGGGUAUGUCUACCUAAUGAAACACAAGUCUGAAACCUUUGAAAAGUUCAAGGAAUUUCAGAGUGAGGUUGAGAAUCAACGUGACAGGAAAAUAAAAUUCUUACGAUCAGAUCGUGGUGGAGAAUAUUUAAGUCACGAGUUUGGUGCACACUUAAGGAAAUGUGGAAUAGUUUCACAACUCACGCCGCCUGGAACACCUCAGAGAAAUGGUGUGAUCGCACUCUAUUGGAUAUGGUGCGAUCUAUGAUGUCUCUUACCGAUUUACCGCUCUCAUUUUGGGGUUAUGCUUUAGAGACUGCCGCAUUCACUUUAAAUAGGGCUCCGUCGAAUCCGUUGAGACGACACUGUAUGAAUUAUGGUUUGGGAAGAAACCUAAGCUGUCGUUUCUAAAAGUUUGGGGAUGCGAUGCUUAUGUCAAGAAACUUCAACCUGAAAAGCUCGAACCCAAGUCGGAAAAAUGCGUCUUCAUAGGAUACCCUAAGGAAACUAUUGGGUAUACCUUCUACCUCAGAUCCGAAGGCAAGAUCUUCGUUGCCAAGAACGGGUCCUUUCUGGAGAAGGAGUUUCUCUCGAAAGAAUUGAGUGGGAGGAAAGUGGAACUUGAUGAGGUGAUAGUCACCCCUUCCGAACCGGAAAGUAGCGCAGCGCGGGAAAAUGUUCCUGUGGUGCCUACACCGACUGGGGAGGAAGUUAAUGAUGAUGAUCAUGAAGCUUCAGAUCAAGUUACUGAACUUCGUAGGUCCACAAGGACACGUUCCGCACCAGAGUGGUACGGCAUCCCUGUCUUGGAAAUCAUGUUGUUAGACAACGGUGAACCUUCGAACUAUGAAGAAGCGAUGGCGGGCCCGGAUUCCGACAAAUGGCUAGAAGCCAUGAAAUCCGAGAUAGGAUCCAUGUAUGAAAACAAAGUAUGGACUUUGACUGACUUGCCCGAUGAGCGGCGAGCCAUAGAAAACAAAUGGAUCUUUAAGAAGAAGACGGACGCAGAUGGUAAUGUGACCAUCUACAAAGCUCGACUUGUCGCUAAGGGUUAUCGACAAGUUCAAGGGGUUGACUACGAUGAGACUUUCUCACCCGUAGCGAAGCUGAAGUCCGUCCGAAUCAUGUUAGCAAUUGCCGCAUACUAUGAUUAUGAGAUAUGGCAGAUGGACGUCAAAACGGCAUUCCUUAACGGCUUCCUUAAGGAAGAGUUGUAUAUGAUGCAGCCGGAAGGUUUUGUCGAUCCUAAGAAUGCUAACAAAGUAUGCAAGCUCCAGCGCUCAAUCUAUGGGCUGGUGCAAGCAUCUCGGAGUUGGAACAUUCGCUUUGAUGAGAUGAUCAAAGCGUUUGGGUUUACACAGACUUAUGGAGAAGCCUGUGUUUACAAGAAAGUGAGUGGGAGAUCUGUAGCAUUUCUCAUAUUAUAUGUGGAUGACAUACUAUUGAUGGGAAAUGAUAUAGAAUUCUUGGAAAGUAUAAAGGCCUAUUUGAAUAAGUGUUUUUCAAUGAAGGACCUUGGAGAAGCUGCUUAUAUAUUGGGCAUCAAGGUCUAUAGAGAUAGAUCAAGACGCCUCAUUGGUCUUUCACAGAGUACAUACCUUGACAAGAUAUUGAAGAAGUUCAGUAUGGAUCAGUCCAAGAAGGGGUUCUUGCCUGUAUUGCAAGGUGUGCAAUUGAGCACGGCUCAAUGCUCGACCACGGCAGAAGAUAUAGAAGAGAUGAGUGUCAUCCCCUAUGCCUCGGCCAUAGGGUCUAUUAUGUAUGCCAUGCUGUGUACCAGACCUGAUGUAAACCUUGCCGUAAGUUUGGUAGGAAGGUACCAAAGUAAUCCCGGCAAGGAACACUGGACAGCGGUCAAGAAUAUCCUGAAGUACCUGAAGAGGACUAAGGAUAUGUUUCUCGUUUAUGGAGGUGACGAAGAGCUCGUCGUAAAGGGUUACGUCGACGCUAGCUUCGACACAGAUCUGGAUGACUCGAAGUCACAGACCGGAUACGUGUAUAUAUUGAAUGGAGGAGCAGUAAGCUGGUGCAGUUGCAAGCAAAGCGUCGUGGCGGGAUCUACAUGUGAAGCGGAGUACAUGGCAGCCUCGGAGGCAGCACAGGAAGCAGUCUGGAUGAAGGAGUUCAUUACCGACCUAGGGGUGAUUCCCAAUGCGUCGGGCCCGAUGACUCUCUUCUGUGACAACACUGGAGCCAUUGCCCUUGCGAAGGAGCCCAGGUUUCACAGGAAGACCAGGCAUAUCAAGCGUCGCUUCAACUCCAUUCGUGAAAGUGUUCAAAAUGGAGACAUAGAUAUUUGUAAAGUACAUACGGACCUGAAUGUAGCAGAUCCGUUGACUAAACCUCUCCCUAGGGCAAAACAUGAUCAACACCAGGACGCAAUGGUUGUUCGAUUCAUCACAAUGUAACUAGAUUAUUGACUCUAGUGCAAGUGGGAGACUGUUGGAAAUAUGCCCUAGAGGCAAUAAUAAAUGGUUAUUAUUAUAUUUCUUUGUUCAUGGUAAUUGUCUAUUAUUCAUGCUAUAAUUGUAUUGUCCGGAAAUCGUAAUACAUGUGUGAAUGCAUAGACCACAACGUGUCCCUAGUAAGCCUCUAGUUGACUAGCUCGUUGAUCAACAGAUAGUCAUGGUUUCCUGACUAUGGACAUUGGAUGUCAUUGAUAACGGGAUCACAUCAUUAGGAGAAUGAUGUGAUGGACAAGACCCAAUCCUAAGCAUAGCAUAAAAGAUCGUGUAGUUUCGUUUGCUAGAGCUUUUCCAAUGUCAAGUAUAUUUUCCUUAGACCAUGAGAUCGUGCAACUCCCGGAUACUGUAAGAGUGCUUUGGGUGUGCCAAACGUCACAACGUAACUGGGUGACUAUAAAGGUGCACUACGGGUAUCUCCGAAAGUGUCUGUUGGGUUGGCACGGAUCGAGACUGGGAUUUGUCACUCCGUGUGACGGAGAGGUAUCUCUGGGCCCACUCGGUAAUGCAUCAUCAUAAUGAGCUCAAUGUGACUAAGGCGUUAGUCACGGGAUCAUGCAUUGCGGUACGAGUGAAGAGACUUGCCGGUAACGAGAUUGAACAAGGUAUUGGGAUACCGACGAUCGAAUCUCGGGCAAGUAACAUACCGAUUGACAAAGGGAAUUGUAUACGGGAUUGAUUGAAUCCUCGACAUCGUGGUUCAUCCGAUGAGAUCAUCGUGGAACAUGUGGGAGCCAACAUGGGUAUCCAGACCCCGCUGUUGGUUAUUGACCGGAGAGGCGUCUCGGUCAUGUCUGCAUGUCUCCCGAACCCGUAGGGUCUACACACUUAAGGUUCGGUGACGCUAGGGUUGUAGAGAUAUAUGUAUGCGGAAACCCGAAAGUUGUUCGGAGUCCCGGAUGAGAUCCCGGACGUCACGAGAGGUUCCGGAAUGGUCCGGAGGUGAAGAAUUAUAUAUAGGAAGUCAAGUUUCGGCCACCGGGAAAGUUUCGGGGGUUACCGGUAUUGUACCGGGACCACCGGAAGGGUCCCGGGGGUCCACCGGGUGGGGCCACCUAUCCCGGAGGGGCCCGUGGGCUGAAAGUGGAAGGGAACCAGCCCUUAGUGGGCUGGGGCGCCCCCCUUGGGCCUCCCCCCAUGCGCCUAGGGUUGGGAACCCUAGGGGGGAGCUUCCCCCUUGCCUUGGGGGGCAAGGCACCCCUUUCCACCCCUUGGCCGCCGCCCCCCCAACCCUAGAUGGGUUUUGGCCGGCCCCCCCUCCCAAGGGGGCCUAUAUAAAGGGGGGGAGGGAGGGCAGCAACACACAGCCUUGGGCGCCUCCCUCCUCCCCUGCAACACCUCUCUCUCUCUCUCUCGCAGAAGCUCGGCGAAGCCCUGCUAGAGACCCGCUACAUCCACCACCACGCCGUCGUGCUGCUGGAUCUCCAUCAACCUCUCCUUCCCCCUUGCUGGAUCAAGAAGGAGGAGACGUCGCUGCACCGUACGUGUGUUGAACGCGGAGGUGCCGUCCGUUCGGCACUCGGUCAUCGGUGAUUUGGAUCACGGCGAGUACGACACCGUCAUCCACGUUCAUUGGAACGCUUCCGCUCGCGAUCUACAAGGGUAUGUAGAUGCACUCCUUUCCCCUCGUUGCUAGUAGACUCCAUAGAUGCAUCUUGGUGAGCGUAGAAAAAUUUUAAAUUAUGCUACGAUUCCCAACAUUAUAAUCACCCAUUUACGUUGUGACGUUUGGUAGCACACAAAGUGUUCCUCCGGUAAACGGGAGUUGCAUAAUCUCAUAGUCAUAGGAACAUGUAUAAGUCAUGAAGAAAGCAAUAGCAACAUACUAAACAAUCGAGUGCUAAGCUAACGGAAUGGGUCAAGUCAAUCACGUCAUUCUCCUAAUGAGGUGAUCUCGUUAAUCAAAUGACAACUUAUAUCUAUGGCUAGGAAACAUAACCAUCUUUGACUAACGAGCUAGUCAAGUAGAGGCAUACUAGUGACACUCUGUUUGUCUAUAUAUUCACACAUGUAUUAUGUUUCCGGUUAAUACAAUUCUAGCAUGAAUAAUAAACAUUUAUCAUGAUACAAGGAAAUAAAUAAUACUUUAUUAUUGCCUCUAGGGCAUAUUUCCUUCACUAGGUGGGCUGGGGCGCCCCCCACCAAGGCCCAAGGCGCCUCAAGAGAAGAUGGGGGCAAACCCUAGGGCAGAUGGGCUCUAAGGCCCACCCAGGUGAGCCUCCCCCUCUCCCCCCCUUUGGCCGCCACCCUAGAUGGGUUCUGGGGCUGCCGCACCCCUUGGGGUGGGAACCCUAGAGGGGGCGCAGCCCCCUCCCCUCCCCCUAUAUAUAGUUGAGGUCUAGGGGCUGCCCAAUACACGAGUCAUUCUCUCCCAGGCGCAGACAUACCUCUCUCCCUCCUCGUCUCUCGUAGUGCUUGGCGAAGCCCUGCUGGAGUUCCGCGCUCCUCCACCACCACCACGCCGUCGUGCUGCUGCUGGACGGAGUCUUCCCCAACUUCUCCUUCUUCCCUUGCUGGAUCAAGGCAUGGGAGACGUCACCGGGCUGCACGUGUGUUGAACGCGGAGGCGCCGUGGUUCGGCGCUUAGAUCAGAAUCAACCGCGAUCUGAAUCGCUACGAGUACGACUCCUUCAUCCGCGUUCUUGCAACGCUUCCGCUUAGCGAGCUACAACGGUAUGUAGAUGCACUCCCCUUCCCCUCGGUGCUAGAUCACUCCAUAGAUUGAUCUUGGUGAUGCGUAGAAAAUUUUAAAUUUCUGCUACGAUCCCCAACAGUGGCAUCAUGAGCUAGGUCUAUGCGUAGUUUCUAUGCACGAGUAGAACACAAAGUAGUUGUGGGCGUCGAUUUUGUCAAUUUACUUGCCGUUACUAGUCUUAUCUUGAUUCGGCGGCAUCGUGGGAUGAAGCGGCCCGGACCGACCUUACACGUACACUUACGUGAGACAGGUUCCACCGACUGACAUGCACUAGUUGCAUAAGGUGGCUAGCGGGUGUCUGUCUCUCCCACUUUAGUUGGAUCGGAUUCGAUGAAAAGGGUCCUUAUGAAGGGUAAAUAGAAAUUGGCUUAUCACGUUGUGGUUUUGGCGUAGGUAAGAAACGUUCUUGCUAAGAAACCUAUAGCAACCACGUAAAAAUUUGCAACAACAAUUAGAGGACGUCUAACUUGUUUUUGCAGCAUAUGCCGUGUGAUGUGAUAUGGCCAAAAGGAUGUGAUGAAUGAUAUAUGUGAUGUAUGAGAUUGAUCAUGUUCUUGUAAUAGGAAUCACGACUUGCAUGUCGAUGGGUAUGACAACCGGCAGGAGCCAUAGGAGUUGUCUUAAUUUAUUUAUGACCUGCGUGUCAACAUAAACGUCAUGUAAUUACUUUACUUUAUUGCUAAACCGUUAGCCAUAGUAGUAGAAGUAAUAGAUGACGAGACAACUUCAUGAAGACACGAUGAUGGAGAUCAUGAUGAUGGAGAUCAUGGUGUCAUGCCGGUGACGACGAUGAUCAUGGCGCCCCGAAGAUGGAGAUAAAAAGGGAGCAAAAUGAUAUUGGCCAUAUCAUGUCACUAUUAGAUUGCAUGUGAUGUUUAUCAUGUUUUACAUCUUAUUUGCUUAGAACGAUGGUAGCUUAAAUAAGAUGAUCCCUCACUAAAAUUUCAAGAAAAGUGUUCUCCCUAACUGUGCACCGUUGCGAAGGUUCGUUGUUUCGAAGCACCACGUGAUGAUCGGGUGUGAUAGAUUCUAACGUUCGAAUACAACGGGUGUUGACGAGCCUAGCAUGUACAGACAUGGCCUCGGAACACAUGCGAAACACUUAGGUUGACCUGACGAGCCUAGCAUGUACAGACAUGGCCUCGGAACACGGAAGACCGAAAGGUCGAACAUGAGUCGUAUAGAAGAUACGAUCAACAUGAAGAUGUUCACCGAUGAUGACUAGUCCGUCUCACGUGAUGAUCGGACACGGCCUAGUCGAUUCGGAUCAUGUAUCACUUAGAUGACUAGAGGGAUGUCUAUUUAAGUGGGAGUUCAUUAAAUAAUUUGAUUAGAUGAACUUAAUUAUCAUGAACAUAGUCUAAAUUGUCUUUGCAAAUAUGUUGUAGAUCAAUAGCUCGUGUUGUAGCUCCCUGUUUCAAUACGUUCCUAGAGAAAGAUUAAGUUGAAAGAUAUUGUAAGCAUUGACGCGGACUAGGUCCGUUGCCUGAGGAGUGUCCUCACUGCUACACAGAAGGCUUAUGUCUUUGAUGCACCGCUCGGUGUGCCAACCCCUCCAGCGUCGUCUGUGGAUGUUAUGAACAUCUAACAGAUACGUCCUGAUGACUACUUGAUAGUUAAGUGCACCAUACUUUACGGCUUAGAAUCGGGAUUCCAAUGACGUUUUGAACGCCAUAGAACAUAUGAGAUGUUCCAAGAGCUGAAAUUGGGAUUUCAGGCUCAUGCCCGUGUUGAGAGGUAUGAGACCUCUGACUAGUUCCUUGCCUACAAGAUGGAGGAGAAUAGCUCAGCUAGUGAGCAUGUGCUCAGAAUGUCUGGGUGCUACAAUCACUUGAAUCAAGUGGGAGUUAAACUUCCAGAUAAGAUAGUGAUUGAUAGAGUUCUCUAGUCACUAUCACUAAGCUACUAGAUCUUCGUGAUGAACUAUGACAUGCAAGGGAUGGAGAUGAUCCCGGAGCUGUUCGCGGUGCUCAGGCCCGGUCCUGAUGGGGGGGCAGGGGGCAGCCGCCCCGGGCCCCCGCAGUGGAGGGGCCCCCACCCAGGCCUGCUGCUAAGUUGAAACCCUGCAUGCUCUGAGAAAAUGUGCUACUAAGUUGGCCCAAGUUACUACGUUAUUGGCCACUAAUUACGCACAGGCCUAGAUCAUAGAUCGAGUCAGCCACGCGUCAGUUACGACUUCACGCACGCACGCCGGGCACAGUCGGCGGCUGCCGCCAGAUGGAUUUUUCGCCUCUUCACCUCGCGACCGCCGGAAUCAGUUGACGACGGCGUACAAGGGAUCGCCACCAAGCAUGCCCCAUGCUGCGAUGCUGGCGUUUCCCAUCAAUGAGAUGAAAAGCUGAUUCUAGAUAAGGUAUUGUGCCCUAACAAUUUUGCUUUUCCCAUGAUAAUUAAUAAAAAGUUAUAAAUGAUAAUCAAUAUUCGAUCUUCAUUGAUAAUUGAUUGAGUGGCCGUGGUUACUGUAGAUAUUAUUAGGCUUUUGUCAUUUGUGAAAUCAAUGUUAUAAUUAAUAAGAUUUUUUAUCGAGUUAAUAUGGUACUCCAUACUAAGGGCAUCUCCAAUGUAGAGACCUUGAUGUGAGGCUUAGGGAAAACAUAUAAAUGGUGCUAAUUGCAACGUAUAGAUGCUUUCUCAUUAAAUUGAUUAGAUUGCCCCAUCAAAUAAAUUGAUUGGAUUGCGUCUGAUCUUUGCAAUGAUAUAUGGAACACACAAAUGCAAGCACUAGUCAUGGAAAAGAAACUAUACCAUGAUUACGGUUAAUUUAUUUUUCACUAAAAAUGCACUGGAUGUGAUAGUACUUCCAAUUCAUCCUCCUAGUAAGUAAAGCAAAUUCGUCGGGUGUUGGAUGCAAGAUUAACCCUUGGGAUCGAAUAGGAAGCAGAAAGACGGUUAGGAAAUCAGUCCUGAGGGCACGCUCUAAGGGGCCCCGAGCUCUACUCUCGCCCCGGGCCCCCAAAAUCCCAGGACCGGCCCUGGCGGUGCUUAAGACCGCAAAAAGUAGAAAUCAAGAAGGAACAUCAAGUGUUGAUGGUUUAACAAGACCACUGGUUUCAAGAAGGGCAAGGGCUAGAAGGGAAACUUCAUGAAUGGUAAACCAGCUACCGCUCCAAUGAAGGAACCCAAGGUUGAACCCAAACCCGAGACUAAGUGCUUCUAUUGUAAGGGGAACGGUCACUGGUAGCGGAACUACCCCAAAUGCAUGGUAGACAAGAAGGCUGGCAACUUCAACAAAGUAUAUACGUGUUAUUAAUGUGUACCUUACUAGUACUCCUGGUAGCACCUGGGUAUUGGAUACCGGUUCAGUUGCUAUUAUUGGUGACUUGAAGCAAAAGCUACGGACUAAACGGAGACUGGCUAAGGGCGAGGUGACGAUGUGUGUUGGAAGUGUUUCCAAAGUUGAUGAGAUCACCAUCGCACGCUCCAUCUGCCUUCGGGAUUAGUAUUGGACCUAGAUAAAUGUUAUCAGGUGUCUAUGUUGAGCGUGAAUAUGAUUAGAUCAUGUUCAUUGCAAUAUGGUUAUUCAUUUAAGUUAGAAAAUAAUGGCUAUUCUGUUUACAUGAAUAAUACCUUUCAUGGUCAUCACCCUAUGUGAAUGGUUCAUUGAAUCUCGGUCGUGGUAAUACACAUGUUCACGCCAAAAAGAUGUAGAGUUAAUAAUGAUAGUACCACUUUCUUGUGACACUGCCGCUUAGGUCAUUUUGGCAUAAAAUGCAUGAAGAAACUCCAUGCUGAUGGAUGUUUGGAGUCACUUGAUUUUGAAUCGCUUGACACAUGCGAGCCAUGCCUCAUGGGCAGGAUGACUAAGAUCCCGUUUUCAGGUACAAUCAAACGGGCAAGUGACUUGUUGGAAAUCAUACAUGUUGAUGUGCGUGAUCCAAUGAGAAUUAAGGCGUGUGGUGGAUAUCAUUAUUUUCUCAUCUUCAUUGACGAUUUGAGUAGAUAUGGGUAUAUUUACUUAAUUAAGCACAAGUCUGAAACGUUUGAAAAGUUCAAGCAAUUUCAGAGUGAAGUUAAGAACCAUCAUAACAAGAAGAUCAAAUUCCUACGAUCUGAUCGAGGGAGAAUUUCUGAGUUAUGAGUUUGGCAAUCACUUAAGACAUUGUGGAAUUGUUUCACAGUUGAAGCCACCUGGAACACCACAGCGAAAUGGUGUGUCCGGACGUCGUAAUCGAACCUUAUGAGAUAUGGUGCGAUCUAUGAUGUCUCUUAGCGAUCUACCGCUAUCAUUUUGAGGUUAUGCGUUAGAGACAGUUGCAUUCACUUUAGAUAGGGCACCAUCUAAGUCCGUUGAGACGACGUCAUAUGAACAUUGGUUUGGCAAGAAACCAAAGUUGUCAUUUCUUAAUGUUUGGGGCUGCGAUGCUUAAGGCUUCAGCCGGAGAAGCUCGAACCCAAAGCGGAAAAACACAUCUUCAUAGGAUACCCUAAGGUGACAGUUGGGUAUACCUUCUAUCUUAGAUCCGAGGGCAAAUUGUUUGUCACAAGAACGGGUCCUUUCUCGAGAAGGAGUUUCUCUCGAAAGAAUUGAGUGGAAGGAAGAUAGAACUUGAUGAGGUUGUUGAACCUCUACUUCAACCGGAAAGUAGUGCAACACAGAAAGAUGUUUCUGUGGCGCCUACGUCUGUUGAAGAGGAAGUUAGUGAUAGUGAUCAUGAAGCUUUGGAUCAACUUGCUAUCGAACCUCGUAGGUCGACAAGGAUAUGUACUACUCCUGAGUGGUACGGUAAUCCUGUCUUAGAUAUCAUGUUGUUAGACAACAAUGAACCUAUGAGCUAUGGAGAAGCGAUGGUGGGCCCGUAUUCCGACAAAUGGUUAGGAGCCAUGAAAUCCGAGAUAGGAUCCAUGUAUCAGAACAAAGUAUGGACUUUGGUGGACUUGCCCGAUGAUCGGCAAGCCAUUGAGAUAAAUGGAUCUUUAAGAAGAAGACGGACGUGGACGGUGAUGUUACCGUCUAUGAAGCUCGACUUGUGGCAAAGAGAUUUUCACAAGUUCAAGGAGUUGACUACGAUGAGAUUUUCUCACCCGUAGCGAUGCUUAAGUCCGUCGGACUCAUGUUAGCAUUAGCUGUAUUUUUCGAUUAUGAAAUCUGACAGAUGGAUGUCAAAACAAGUUUUCUUACCAGUUUUCGUAAGAAAAAGUUGUAUGUGAUACAAUCAAAGGUUUUGUCGAUCCUAAGGAUGCUAAAAGGUAUGCUGGCUCCAGCGAUCCUUCUAUGGAUUAGAGCAAGCAUCUCGGAGUCGGAAUAUAUGCAUUGAUGGAGUGAUCAAACUUUUUAGGUUUAUACAAUGUUUGCUAGAAACUUGUAUUUACAAGAAAGUGAGUGGGAGCACUACAACAUUUCUGAUAAGUAUAUGUGGAUGACAUAUUGCUGAUCUGAAAUGAUGUAGAAUUUCUUGAAAGCAUAAACGGUUGUUUGAAAAGUGAUUUUCAAAGGAAGACCUGGAUAAAGCUGCUUACAUAUUGAGCAUCAAGAUCUAUAGAGAUAGAUCAAGACGCCCGAUGAUACUUUCAAAAGAACACACACCUUUGACAUGAUUUUGAAGGAGUUCAAAAUAGAUCAGUCAAAGAAGGAGUUCUUACCUGAGUUGUAAGGUGUGAAGUUGAGUAAGACUCAAAGCUUGAUCACGGCAGAAGAAAGAGGAAGGACGAAGGUCGUCCCCUAUGCUUUUGUCAUAGGCUCUAUACGGUAUGCCAUGCUGAGUACCGCACCUGAUUUGUGCCUUGCCACAUGUCUGGCAAGAGGGUACAAAGGUGAUCCAGGAGUGGAUCACUGAACAGUGGUCAAAAUUGUCCUUAGAGGAAUAAGGAAAUAUUUCUCGGUUAUGGAGGUGACAAAGAGUUCGACGUUAAGAGUUACGUCGAUGCAAGCUUUAACACCUAUCCGGAUGACUAUGAGUAGAAAAACCGGAUAUGUAUAAUGGAGCAACCAUUUGGAAUAGCUCCAAGUGGAACGUGGUACAAGCAUCUACGAUAUGACAUAAAGUUUUGCGAAGUACAUGCGGAUCUGAUUGUUGCAGACCCGUUGACUAUAACCUCUCUCACAAGCAUAACAUGAUCAAACCCAGAACUCAUUGAGUGUUAAUCACAUAGUGAUGUGAACUAGAUUAUUGACUCUAGUAAACUCAUUGGAUGUUAGUCACAUGGUGAUGUGACCUGUGAGUGUUAAUCACAUGGCGAUGUGAACUAGAUUAUUGACUCUAGUACAAGUGGGAGACUGUUAGAAAUAUGUCCUAGAGGCAAUAAUAAAUUGGUUAUUGUUAUAUUUCCUUGUUCAUGAUAAUCGUUUAUUAUCCAUGCUAAAAUUGUAUUGAUAGGAAACUCAGAUACAUGUGUGGAUACAUAGACAACACCAUGUCCCUAGUAAGCCUCUAGUUGACUAGCUCGUUGAUCAAUAGAUGGUUACGGUUUCCUGACCAUGGACAUUGGAUGUCGUUGAUAACGGGAUCACAUCAUUAGGAGAAUGAUGUGAUGGACAAGACCCAAUCCUAAGCCUAGCACAAGAUCGUGUAGUUCGUCUGCUAAAGCUUUUCUAAUGUCAAGUAUCAUUUCCUUAGACCAUGAGAUAGUGCAACUCCCGGAUACCGUAGGAAUGCUUUGGGUGUACCAAACGUCACAACGUAACUGGGUGGCUAUAAAGGUGCACUACAGGUAUCUCCGAAAGUGUCUGUUGGGUUGGCACGAAUCGAGACUGGGAUUUGUCACUCCGUGUAAACGGAGAGGUAUCUCCGGGCCCACUCGGUAGGACAUCAUCAUAAUGUGCACAAUGUGACCAAGGAGUUGAUCACGGGAUGAUGUGUUACGGAACGAGUAAAGAGACUUGCCGGUAACGAGAUUGAACAAGGUAUCGGGAUACCGACGAUCGAAUCUCAGGCAAGUACUAUACUGGUAGACAAAGGGAAUUGUAUACGGGAUUGAUUGAAUCCUUGACAUCAUGGUUCAUCCGAUGAGAUCAUCGUGGAACAUGUGGGAGCCAACAUGGGUAUCCAGAUCCCGCUGUUGGUUAUUGGCCGGAGAUAUGUCUCGGUCAUGACUACAUGGUUCCCGAGCCCGUAGGGUCUACACACUUAAGGUUCGAUGACGCUAGGGUUAUAGGGAAAGUAUGUACGCGGUUACCGAAGGUUUUUCGGAGUCCCGGAUGAGAUCCCGGACGUCACGAGGAGUUCCGGAAUUGUUCGGAGGUAAAGAUUGAUAUAUAGGAAGUGAGGAUUUGGCCACCGGAAGUGUUCCGGGCAUCACCGGUAAUGUACCGGGACCACCGGGAGGGGCCACCAGCCCCAGAGGCUUGCGUGGGCCAAUAGUGGGAAGGGACCAGCCCCUAGGUGGGCUGGGGCGCCCCCCACCAAGGCCCAAGGCGCCUCAAGAGAAGAUGGGGGCAAACCCUAGGGCAGAUGGGCCCUAAGGCCCACCCCAGGUGCGCCUCCCCCUCUCCCCCCUUUGGCCGCCACCCUAGAUGGGUUCUGGGGCUGCCGCACCCCUUGGGGUGGGAACCCUAGAGGGGGCGCAGCCCCCUCCCCUCCCCUUAUAUAUAGUUGAGGUCUAGGGCUGCCCAAUACACGAGUCAUUCUCUCCCAGGCGCAGCCAUACCUCUCUCCCUCCUCGUCUCUCGUAGUGCUUGGCGAAGCCCUGCUGGAGUUCCGCGCUCCUCCACCACCACCACGCCGUCGUGCUGCUGCUGGACGGAGUCUUCCCCAACUUCUCCUUCUUCCCUUGCUGGAUCAAGGCGUGGGAGACGUCACCGGGCUGCACGUGUGUUGAACGCAGAGGCGCCGUGGUUCGGCGCUUAGAUCGGAAUCAACCGCGAUCUGAAUCGCUACGAGUACGACUCCUUCAUCCGCGUUCUUGCAACGCUUCUGCUUAGCGAUCUACAAUGGUAUGUAGAUGCACUCCCCUUCCUCUCGGUGCUAGAUUACUCCAUAGAUUGAUCUUGGUGAUGCGUAGAAAAUUUUAAAUUUCUGCUACGAUCCCCAACACUUCGCGGGCGAACCCGAUCUCCACCGCCUGCUCCGGGACGACGCCUCUCGAGUGAAGGAGGAUGCCCAAACCAUGGUCGACCAACGGUGGGGGCCAGGUCAAGGCUGCGGUUGGCGGCCUGGAUGUAGGAGAACCGCUAGGGAGGAGGAAGGUGGCCACGUCGCCUUUAAAUCGCGAAUGCCACCGCCUGUAAAUUCCGUGCCCCGCCAAGGGCAUUUUAGUCAUUUCACGCGUAGGCAUAUAAAACGCAGCCCGCCCGUGUACAAACCCUAGCCGCUGCCUCCGCCCGCACUCGCUCCCCCACCUACCCGCGCAGCUCUCUUCCCCGACCCCUUCCUUCCCCCGUCUGCCCGAGACCCCGCCGCCAACUGCUACUCCUCCACCGCCUCGCCUCUUCCUCCUCCUCGCCGCCCCAUCGCUUGCACGCAGGCCAUCGUGGCCACGCGCUUCGCGGGCGAACCCGAUCUCCACCGCCUGCUCCGGGACGACGCCUCUCGAGUGAAGGAGGAUGCCCAAACCAUGGUUGAGCCAACGGUGGGGGCCGGGUCAAGGCUGCGGUUGGCGGCCUGGAUGCAGGAGAACCGCUAGGCAGGAGGAAGGUGGCCACAUCGCCUUUAAAUCGUGAAUGCCACCGCCUGUAAAUUCCGUGCCCCGCUAAGGGCAUUUGAGUCAUUUCACGCGCAGGCAUAUAAAACGCAGCCCGCCCGUGUAGAAACCCUAGCCGCUGCCUCCGCCCGCACUCGCUCCCCCACCCACCCGCACAGCUCUCUUCCCCGACCCCUUCCUUCCCCCGUCUGCCCGAGCCCCCGCCGCCAACUGCUACUCCUCCACCGCCUCGCCUCUUCCUCCUCCUCGCUGUCCCAUCGCUUGCAAGCAGGCCAUCGUGGCCACGCGCUUCGCGGGCGAACCCGAUCUCCACCGCCUGCUCCUGGAUGACGCCUCUCGAGUGAAGGAGGAUGCCCAAACCAUGGUCGAGCCAACGGUGGGGGCCGGGUCAAGGCUGCGGUUGGCGGCCUGGAUGCAGGAGAACCGCUAGGCAGGAGGAAGGUGGCCACGUCGCCUUUAAAUCGCGAAUGCCACCGCUUGUAAAUUCCGUGCCCCGCCAAGGGCAUUUUAGUCAUUUCACGCGCAGGCAUAUAAAACGCAGCCCGCCCGUGUAGAAACCCUAGCCGCUGCCUCCGCCCGCACUCGCUCCCCCACCCACCCGCGCAGCUCUCUUCCCCGACCCCUUCCUUCCCCCGUCUGCCCGAGCCCCUGCCGUCAACUGCUACUCCUCCACCGCCUCGCCUCUUCCUCCUCCUCGCCGUCCCAUCGCUUGCACGCAGGCCAUCGUGGCCACGCGCUUCGCGGGCGAACCCGAUCUCCACCGCCUGCUCCGGGACGACGCCUCUCGAGUGAAGGAGGAUGCCCAAACCAUGGUCGAGCCAACGGUGGGGGCCAGGUCAAGGCGGUGGUUGGCGGCCUGGAUGCAGGAGAACCGCUAGGCAGGAGGAAGGUGGCCACGUCGCCUCUAAAUCGCGAAUGCCACCGCCUGUAAAUUCCGUGCCCCGCCAAGGGCAUUUUAGUCAUUUCACGCGCAGGCAUAUAAAACGCAGCCCGCCCGUGUAGAAGCCCUAGCCGCUGCCUCCCCCCGCACUCGCUCCCCCACCCACCCGCGCAGCUCUCUUCCCCGACCCCUUCCUUCCCCCGUCUGCUCGAGCCCCCGGCGCCAAUUGCUACUCCUCCACCGCCUAGCCUCUUCCUCCUCCUCGCCGUCCCAUCGCUUGCACGCAGGCCAUCUUGGCCACGCGCUUCGCGAGCGAACCCGAUCUCCACCGCCUGCUCCGGGACGACGCCUCUCGACUGAAGGAGGAUACCCAAACCAUGGUCGAGCCAACGGUGGGGGCCGGGUCAAGGCUGCGGUUGGCGGCCUGGAUGCAGGAGAACCGCUAGGCAGGAGGAAGGUGGCCACGUCGCCUUUAAAUCGCGAAUGCCACCGCCUGUAAAUUCCGUGCCCCACCAAGGGCAUUUUAGUCAUUUCACGCGCAGGCAUAUAAAUUGCAGCCCGCCCGUGUAGAAGCCCUAGCCGCUGCCUCCGCCCGCACUCGCUCCCCCACCCACCCGCGCAGCUCUCUUCCCCGACCCCUUCCUUCCCCCGUCUGCCCGAGCCCCCGGCGCCAAUUGCUACUCCUCCACCGCCUAGCCUCUUCCUCCUCCUCGCCGUCCCAUCGCUUGCACGCAGGCCAUCGUGGCCACGUGCUUCGCGAGCGAACCCGAUCUCCACCGCCUGCUCCGGGACGACGCCUCUCGACUGAAGGAGGAUGCCCAAACCAUGGUCGAGCCAACGGUGGGGGCCGGGUCAAGGCUGCGGUUGGCGGCCUGGAUGCAGGAGAACCGCUAGGCAGGAGGAAGGUGGCCACGUCGCCUUUAAAUCGCGAAUGCCACCGCCUGUAAAUUUCGUGCCCUGCCAAGGGCAUUUUAGUCAUUUCACGCGCAGGCAUAUAAAACGCAGCCCGCCCGUGUAGAAACCCUAGCCGCUGCCUCCGCCCGCACUCGCUCCCCCACCCACCCGCGCAGCUCUCUUCCCCGACCCCUUCCUUCCCCCGUCUGCCCGAGCCCCCGCCGCCAACUGCUACUCCUCCACCGCCUCGCCUCUUCCUCCUCCUCACCGUCCCAUCGCUUGCACGCAGGCCAUCGUGGCCACGCGUUUCGCGGGCGAACCCGAUCUCCAACGCCUGCUCCGGGACGACGCCUCUCGAGUGAAGGAGGAUGCCCAAACCAUGGUCGAGCCAACGGUGGGGGCCAGGUCAAGGCUGCGGUUGGCGGCCUGGAUGCAGGAGAACCGCUAGGCAGGAGGAAUGUGGUCACGUCGCCUUUAAAUCGCGAAGGCCACCGCCUGUAAAUUCCGUGCCCUGCCAAGGGCAUUUUAGUCGUUUCACGCGCAGGCAUAUAAAACACAGCUCGCCCGUGUAGAAACCCUAGCCGCUGCCUCCGCCCGCACUCGCUCCCCCACCCACCCGCGCAGCUCUCUUCCCCGACCCCUUGCUUCCCCCGUCUGCCCGAGCCCCCGCCGCCAACUGCUACUCCUCCACCGCCUCGCCUCUUCCUCCUCCUCGUCGUCCCAUCGCUUGCACGCAGGCCAUCGUGGCCACGCGCUUCGCGGGCGAACCCGAUCUCCACCGCCUGCUCCGGGACGACGCCUCUCGAGUGAAGGAGGAUGCCCAAACCAUGGUCGAGCCAACGGUGGGGGCCAGGUCAAGGCUGCGGUUGGCGGCCUGGAUGCAGGAGAACCGCUAGGCAAGAGGAAUGUGGUCACGUCGCCUUUAAAUCGCGAAGGCCACCGCCUGUAAAUUCCGUGCCCUGCCAAGGGCAUUUUAGUCGUUUCACGCGUAGGCAUAUAAAACACAGCCCGCCCGUGUAGAAACCCUAGCCGCUGCCUCCGCCCGCACUCGCUCCCCCACCCACCCGCGCAGCUCUCUUCCCCGACCCCUUCCUUCCCCCGUCUGCCCGAGCCCCCGCCGCCAACUGCUACUCCUCCACCGCCUCGCCUCUUCCUCCUCCUCGCCGUCCCAUCGCUUGCACGCAAGCCAUCGUGGCCACGCGCUUCGCGGGCGAACCCGAUCUCCACCGCCUGCUCCGGGACGACGCCUCUCGAGUGAAGGAGGAUGCCCAAACCAUGGUCGAGCCAACGGUGGGGGCCGGGUCAAGGCUGCGGUUGGCGGCCUGGAUGCUGGAGAACCGCUAGGCAGGAGGAAGGUGGCCACGUCGCCUUUAAAUCGCGAAUGCCACCGCGUGUAAAUUUCGUGCCCCGCCAAGGGCAUUUUAGUCAUUUCACGCGCAGGCAUAUAAAACGCAGCCCGCCCGUGUAGAAACCCUAGCCGCUGCCUCCGCCCGCACUUGCUCCCCCACCCACCCGCGCAGCUCUCUUCCCCGACCCCUUCCUUCCCCCGUCUGCCCGAGCCCCCGCCGCCAACUGCUACUCCUCCACCGCCUCGCCUCUUCCUCCUCCUCGCCGUCCCAUCGCUUGCACGCAGGCCAUCGUGGCCACGCGCUUCGUGGGCGAACCCGAUCUCCACCGCCUGCUCCGGGACGACGCGCUCUCGAGUGAAGGAGGAUGCCCAAACCAUGGUCGAGCCAACGGUGGGGGCCGGGUCAAGGCUGCGGUUGGCGGCCUGGAUGCAGGAGAACCGCUAGGCAGGAGGAAGGUGGCCACGUCGCCUUUAAAUCGUGAAUGCCACCGCCUGUCAAUUCCAUGCCCCGUCAAGGGCAUUUUAGUGAUUUCACGCGCAGGCAUAUAAAACGCAGCCCGCCCGUGUAGAAACCCUAGCCGCUGCCUCCGCCCGCACUCGCUCCCCCACCCACCCGCGCAGCUCUCUUCCCCGACCCCUUCCUUCCCCGUCUGCUCGAGCCCCCGCCGCCAACUGCUACUCCUCCACCGCCUCGCCUCUUCCUCCUCCUUGCCGUCCCUUCGCUUGCACGCAGGCCAUCGUGGCCACGCGCUUCGCGGGCGAACCCGAUCUCCACCGCCUGCUCCGGGACAACGCCUCUUGAGUGAAGGAGGAUGCCCAAACCAUGGUCGAGCCAACGGUGGGGGCCGGGUCAAGGCUGCGGUUGGCGGCCUGGAUGCAGGCGAUGGUGGCGGACGUUGGGGGUCUGGCGGGCGUGGCGGCCGACGGGAUCUGCCAGACAUGUAGGCAGCUGGAAGGGCAGCAGCGGUCUGUGGGGCGUCGACCGGUCCAGCAGCCGCCUUGAUGGAGAAGGGCCAUGCAGGAUUCGUGCCCCUGCACAUCCAGGUUCUUCUCCGUCACCUAUCCCUUCCUCCCUCUCCUUUCCACUAGGUAUACCCAUCCAGCAGUAAAAGAAGUGGCCCCAAUUAGUACAUGGUUCGUUUUGGAUUUUGGAUCUGCAACAUUUAGGAGGCUGGUCUGGAUUAGGUCCGUUUCUUGGAGUAUGACAAGCUGAUGGUGAUCCUCACGCUGACAAAAUAAUGGAACAUUUAGUGCUGGUGCUUCUGAAGGUAAGUUCGCCUUCUGAUCUGUUUCUUCUCUUAAAAUAAGACUACCCUGUUUCACAAAUUGUUUUGUAACCUGCGAAUGUGGUUUAGGAUAUCUAUUUUGCUGUUGUAAGUGUGAAAAAUGGAGUGUAACAACCAUUAUACUGCAAGUUAGUCUACUGAAAUUUGGCCAUGGCUAAACAGGGCUUUUAUCUUGAGCUGCUCAUACUACUAUGACAAGGUGGAAAGUCAAGUGCUUAUUGAUCAAAGAAGAAGAAGCAUAAUAAGUGUGCACUUUCAGAGUUUCAGAGUGGGGUUGCUUCCUCUGCCCCCUUCAUGUGGUUUAGGUUAGUUCUUCUUCUAUGCUCUUCCUAUUCGUCUGUUGUUUCUUGACAUGCUUCUGAAAUGUAUUAGCACCAAACUAAAUUUUAUUUUAUUUCGAUUAUGACAAUGAAUUUCCAUAGAUUAUGACAAAUGUUAUAAGUGUGAAAAAUGGAGUGUAAGAGCCAUUAUACUCCAAGUUAGUGUACUGAAAUCUGGCCAUGGCUAAACAGGGCUUUUAUCUUGAGCUGCUCACUACUAUGACAAGGUGGAAAGUCAACUGCUUAUUGAUCGAAGAAGAAGAAGCAUAAUAAGUGUGCACUUUCAGAGUUCCGGAGUGGGGUUGCUUCCUCCGCGCCCUUCAUAUGGUUGAGGUUUGUUCUUCCUCUAUGCUCUUACUUCCUAUUCGUCUGUUUUUCUUAACAUGCUUCUGAAAUGUAUUAGCACAAAACCAAAUUUUAUUUUAUUUCGAUUAUGACAAUGAAUUUCCAUAGAUUAUGAAAAAUGUUAUAAGUGUGAAAAAUGGAGUGUAAGAGCCAUUAUACUCCAACUUAGUGUACUGAAAUCUGGCCAUGGCUAAACAGGGCUUUUAUCUUGAGCUGCUCAUACUACUAUGACAAGGUGGAAAGUCAAGUGCUUAUUGAUCGAAGAAGAAGAAGCAUAAUAAGUGUGCACUUUCAGACUUUCAGAGUGGGGUUGCUUCCUCCGCGCCCUUCAUAUGGUUGAGGUUUGUUCUUUCUCUAUGCUCUUACUUCCUAUUCGUCUGUUUUUUUUUUUUUGACAUGCUUCUGAAAUGUAUUAGCACAAAACCAAAUUUUAUUUUAUUUUGAUUAUGACAAUGAAUUUACAUAGAUUUUCAUUACUCAACAGAAACCUUAGACCUUGUUCACUGGGUUUCUUCUUCCUUUUCCUGGGCCAUAGCAACACAUUUGCAACAGCACACCAGACUCAAUUUAGUUGACUAGCAACAGAGCAAAGGUGUGGUAAUUCCCAAUCUGACAAUUAAUUGCAUGCAUUUUCCUAUCUUCAAGGGGCCACUCUUUGAUUCAGAGUAAAAUCAGCUUCUUCACCUAUGGAGGAGGUAGAUACUGACAGAGUGUAUGACAAGGUGUUCUCUAGGUUCUGCAUCAUCAGUGUGCAGGUCUAGAUUCUGCAACAUUGGUGACCAGUUGUUCUCUAGGAUUCUGCAGCGUCAUCCUCAGGAAGAGAAGGGAGGGGAGGACGAGGUGAAGAGAGGAGGGAGAGGGAGACGGCGAGCAUAUGGAGAAGCGCCACAAGGAGCAGACCUGGACAUCGGCGGCAACAAGGCCAUGCCCUCAUCCACCUCCGUGCGGGCACCCUGGUAUGAAGCCAUCUCCUUCUCCUUCUGCAUGUGUGGAAUUGAAGGAACUUAGGCUUAGACUAUGUACAUGUAGGUAAAUUUUAUUUAUUUGUGACCUGUACAUGAGUUGUUGGUCAUCAAUGACUUGCAGAGAAUUCCAUCAGACUUGGCCAAAAAUACCAAAAUCUCAGCAUAAACAUAUCACUUGUACAUAUGUUUAAGGCUGAUGCACCUGUCUAAAUGAAGCUACACAAGUAGGAAUUUAUUUUGCUAAUUGUUGCCUCUAGCCAUAGCUUUUUGAAUUCUGGUCUUCUAAUUAUUAGAUUUUUAUGCUGCAGGUCUGGUCUACGCUAAAUGAAUGUUGGUGUUCUAGAUCUGGCUGUAUCUGCAGUGCACGAGUGUGUCGACGAGAAGGAGCAACAACUCCUUGGACAAUGGUAUGGCCUAAUGAUUUAUGUUUGUUUGCUAACAUAGUGCUAAUGGGUGUGAAAAUUAAGGUUCAGCCGCGUCUGCGGCAGCGGCGGGGACCUCUGCCCGUGGUCUCCAUCUUGCUGCUCAUCCUCUUUUCUAGGUAUAGACAACAUAGUCAGAUCGUCAGAUCGGUCAGCAAUCUGACAGUAAAUAGCCAUUCCGUUUAUAGUUAGCUGUUGCAGAUUGUUUAUAUAAUUAUCCCUGGUUCUAUUACUCUUUUGUUUAGGUACAUUGACUAAUAAUGAAAUUGCAACUGUAUGGAGUAAAGCCAAUUUAUUCUUUUGGAACUAAACUCGUUCCAAGGUAAAUACUACAGGAAGCACACAUAUGUUCAUGCCAUCCCUGAAUAUAUUGGAUUUAGAUAUCGAUGUAUAUAUGUGGUAUGUCUGUUCUAUAAAGACGAUCGCGAAGAGUGUUUGUUCAUUGGAACAGUUUUUUUCUCCUGAUUUAGCGUCUUAGUACAAUAUAACUAUCUAGAAAGCAUUUUAUAGGAGAUCACAUUCGGACUUCUGUACUAAAUUCUUCAUAGCCUUACUGUGAUAGUUGCAGUAUAGCUCUCACAUGAGGCCUACUUAUUAUUUCUCUCACCUUUUUUUGUCCAAACUACUGGUUUUGACACCUUGCUCGCGGUCCCCGCGCGCCGCUCCCCGCGUCUGCGGCAGCGGCGGGGACCUCUACCCGUGGUCAUAUUUCUAUAGUUUAUGGCCUAUCAAUAUCUAAUUUCUCAUCUGAUUUUGACACCUUGCUCUUCUGCAGUUUUGUUUCACUUUUCAAGGAUGAGUAUCUUUACUUUGAAAAUGAACUCGUCAUAUUUCUAUUGGAAAUGAAGUGAUGUUGCUUCCCAGGUAAAUAACUGAAUUCUCUUCUACUUUAGUAGAUUCAGUAACUUUGCUUUAGAGUUGUUGUUUAAAAGUAGCACUACCCCUGAGUAACUAUAUCAAUGGCUGCCACUAUGUAAAUCUUAGUUCCACUAGAUAUGAUAAUCAUGGUUCUUCUGUCUUGGUCUGAUGAUUUUAUACAUGCCAACAAGCAUCCAUGCGAUAUGUUCUUUACUUCUGCACCUAACAGCAUGUUUUCCCACAAAAAAGUACACGUGCCGCGGCAAUCAUGCGUUUUAUCAUUUUAAUCAUUUGUGUGGAGUAGUAUUAAUGUUCUUGCCGGCAUUGGUUAACAGAAAUCACUAUAAGAACUUUAUCCUACAUGCCGUAUUUCUCUUUGUCUCUUUUUCCUUAUUUCUGUUUCCUCGGUUUCUUCUAGCGUAUUUUGAUGUUUAUUUUCAGUCAAAAGGAUGAGAGAUGGAGCUUGGGCCAACAAUCUCUGAGAAGAGCUGUUGUGUGCCUUCCAAACAUGUCUCUCUCGUGUGUAUGUUCUGCAUAAUUUACCAGUAGCCUGCCUAUAAUGUUCAGCUUCUUAAUUGUAUAGAACCCUCCAAACUGUUAAUUUGUUGCUCCUGUAGGCUGAUUAAUUGACCUUGGGUUUCUUCUACCUGGACAAGUUUUCUAUCGCAUACACACAUGCGUUGUUGUAGUAGUAGAGCUCCCUCCAAUCCAUAUUAAUUGACGCAGACUUACUACAUCUUUAGUAGUUUAAUGGUAGUCAUAUUAUUUUAAUGGAAAUCAAUUAAUUUUAUGCCGUUUGUACGCUCGGUUGUCGGCUGGCCCCGGUGGAGCCUUGCAGUGGCUGGGCGUGACCAUGCUCUGCCUCCGCUGGUGAGAGCCGUGAGGAGUCAGAGAGGGAGAUUGAGGAGGAGGAAGAUGACACUCCCCAAGGCCAAGCUAUGUCAGGCUGCACCAGCAAGGUGAGCCCCAUCACUCUGCGUUUAUUUCUUCAGAUCAUGCAGCAGCAAUGUUACCGAGGAAUCGAUGCUUUACAUAAUUGAUCAGUUAACUGGUAAUAUAUCUAUAGAAUAGCCAAGCAAAAAACAUUGCGUUUCCUAGAUGUUCCAUACGAUAUUAAAGUUGGAACCAGGCUAAUAGACAAACUGUAUAUCCGAUUAUGCUAGAAAAAGGAGAAUAGAAAGUUUACUUUUAUGAUGGUAGGAUGUCUUAGUUUUGUUUCCUAUGUUCUCUCUCAAAAAAGAAAUCUGGGAUACACCAUCAGUAUCAACACCGGUAAAAAGAAUCCAAUCAAAAUAUGAUGUUUUUCCCUUGGCUAUAUGUUUAUUUGAAGGAAACCAUUCAAUUCUCAGUGAUCUUUCUUUAUGCGACGUGGUGCCAUUUUUCCUAAUGUGCCUAUAGAAGUGAUUUAUCAGGUGUUUUGGUUUAUUAUCUUAUAAGGGAGUCCCAAAGUUUUUUGGAUUAUGAAUUCUCUGGUCAGAAUCGGUUGUUUUUUCCCCUUGUGUUCAUUUAUUUCUCAGAUUGCAGAACUGACGAGUGUAGACUAAUUAAGUUGAUGAUCUACAUGUGUUGCUCCUCUCCCCUGAUGUGUAGUGCAACUAUAAAUAGGGAGAGAAUUGCGUGAGGAGAGCUCUCUUGGCUCUUGCUACUGUUCUGAGCUCACUCUUUGACUAAUCUAAAUGCUCUCUCUGCCCACUGAUCGAUCAAGGAUGGCACUGAAAUAUCAGCAAGGACCAGCACAAAAAGAAAGGGAGAAUAAAUGGGACCAAUUAACUUACUUCUGUUUAAGAGUACACUACUUUUGACUUUGGAGUCGCACUGGUGAAUGGGGCGUCGCAUGGUCUAUGCUGGAGGUGUUCACAUAUAACAAGUUCACUAUUUGUUCCAUUGGUCAGUUGUAUAAUCUGUGGGCGUAUUUAAGUUGAACUAUGCUCCUUCCUUGGUAUUUGGAGACAAGAUACUGGCAGUUUUUAUGUUAUCAGACUGUUUAUUAGUUAUCUGUAGUUUUAUAACAAUCUCCAUUGUCAAUGGUAGUUCAGAUUCUUCAGGAAGAAUGGGUCUUGUAUUUAUAUUAUUUAAUUGUGCAAUAAUCGAUAGAUAACAAAAGAUAGAUAAUUAAGAAGUUUACAGAUUUGAGUAUGAAAGUUUCACCCCAGUGAGUGUGGUAUUGAAUCAUAACUCUAAUAGUGGUUUAGUUUAUUCUAGGUUACCAGUACAAAGUAUGAAGACUUGCAGAGUUUAAAUGGUAAAGUAGCAAAACAGUAUUUUGUACUUGGUUUAUACUCCGUACUUCAUAGCUUUAUCAUACCCAGUUGCUCCCUUUGCCAUAUUUUUUUUUCACGGGGCCAAAUAAUUUGGUAGCCGAGCAAUGAGCAAUGUUUGCCUCUGUUUUGUAUUUGCCUCUGUUUUUUCACUAAUAUAAUCACGUAAGCCACGGUGCAUGUUUUUGCCAUGAUUUCCUUCGGUUGGAUUUCGUCGAUUUAGGUGCUGAAAAAUUAUGGGUUGUGGAUGCAGGAUUAAGGACAUGUACCUGCACUAUAACGAGAGAUCUGGGUUGCUUUUUUGUGGCUUCCAAACUUGAAAUGUUUGUUUGGAAGUUAAUUUAGUUUUAUGUUGUGGAUUCACAGCUUCUCACAUGUACCAUCCUUUUAGACCUUUAGAUUCCCAAAGAAACUAAAUGAAGAUAUGGUGGUAUGGUCUCAAUAGUACAACUUAAAGCCUUCCAUGCUUUAUAUUUUCUCUGAAAUUUGCUUUUUAUGUUAGAUCCGGUGAGAAAAGCGGCUUCCAAGCAGAGGAUGCGGGAGUGUUGGUCACAUUUGGUUUUUGACUUGGAUGUCUAAAUAUUCUCACAAUACUUGACUCCCUUUUGCCCCUUGCACCAUUGGCGCAACGAGUCAUCUAGUACAACAGAGAAUACAAAGUUAACACUAAUCAUACAGUACAAAACCACCGCGCAUGUGAGCAAAAAACACAAAAUGGAUACAUUUUUUUUUGCGAAAAAAAUGGAUACAUCUUACCUUGAUCUAUCUUUCCUUCAACUACAUCAUCUUCAAAAUCGACCUUUAAAUUGAUUCAAAUCUCAGUCAAACGUGCCUAUUUCACACUAGCUAACAACACAGGAAGAACAAAGAAUAGAACGAGAGAGCUGGCUGCUGCUGCUGCAGACCUGCCGCCACAUUGUGUGGCGGCAGGGCCCAUCAACCACAGGCUGUUCCGUUGCAGGCUUGCAGCAGCUGGCCUCGUCGGAUUUCAAGUAAUUUCAGGGUUGCUGCCUGGUGUUGUGGUCUGCAGCCUCCUCGCGUGGCAGGUGCCCAUCUGCUGGCGCAUCAGCCGCCACGGCCUAGCUGGUCUGUUUUGUCAAAAAAAUUCAAAGGUAGUCUUUUUUGUCAAUUCGACUCGGCAGAUGGUCCUUUUGAAAAAAAAUUCACUAUUUCCGGCCUUUCCGCUAUUUCAUUGUUCGGUCGUCGGUCAUACGAGAAUACAAAUCGAUUAGGUGAGCACCAACCGGCAAGAUAGGAGCCAUGAGCCAGAGAGGAUGUCAUAGCAUCGUUCUUCAGCUGCUGUGAUCCAUACUAGUGCCGCCAUACCGCGCGGCGGCAGCUAGGUUGUAACCGGUGAACUACAGGUGUAUGCGCAGAUUCACGCAUUCAGCCUUACAAGUUCUUUGUUUCCAGUAACUACAGGCUCCCUUCAGAUCAUUUUUUAGCGCCGACGGCUAAAAAAGGCCCAGUCACGUCUUUGGGAGCCCGUUUUUCGUUGAUUUGGGCUGAAACUGGUGCCGGCGGACCCAAGUCGAACCCGGUGCGCUGGGGGUUGCCGGGGAAAACGAUUUUGGCGCGAACGGGAAUGGGCUCGCCGAGUCAGCGACACGCCGCUUCGUCGUCCUCAUCGCCUCGGUUCCCACGGAAUCAAUGCCAAGGCUGCCGCGCAGGUCAACCUCCAUUGAUGCCUCACGGGCGGCACAGUGAAGGCGCAACGACACGCGUCCCGCCCGCUCCCGCCACGCGUCACCCGGCAUGCAGAUUCUCACUGCCCCGCUUCGGCUAUAAAAGCCGACCUCCCCGUCGGUGAACGCCACAGUCGCCACAACUCGCCUUCUCUCUCGCCUCGUCUCACCACAGAAGCAACUCUCCCCCUCUUCCCCCCGCCGAUGAGCAAUGGCUGAGCGGUACCCCGGCGACGCCGCGGCGGCGAACGGCUUCGGCCGUCGCCAUCUCCACGAGGACGAGGCGCGCCUCCUCUACGAGGCCGACUAUCCGGCGCCCCCAGACAUGCGGGUGCCGGGCACGUGGAAGUUGAGCGCCGCCGGCGUCCCAGUACCCCCGAUGCCCACCGGGGCUGAACGGCGGGCCGAGAUCGCCCGCAUCCGUUCUUCGCUGUCGGAGGAGCAGCGGAACAAGCCGAGGUACGCCGCCGAUAGCUACACGCUGUGGACGAUGUACUUCGAGCGCCGCCGCGAAGAGCAGAUCGCCUCCGCCAACGGCACCAUCCCCCGCGGCCGACUCAACGCCGACGGGUGGCGCGAAUGAUGGGGCGUGCCCGGCCGCACCCUCAAGGCCGUCCUCGACCACAUCGAGACCGGCAACACGCCGCGCCUCGAGUACUCGGCGCGCCCGUCCUUCUCUCGCCGCCGUGGCAGCUCCUGGACGCCGCGACGAAUGGAGGCGGCGACCUCCUCGUCGUCGGGCCCCGAUUCGCUAUCCUCCGGGUCGCUGGCGCUCCGCCCCGUCAAGCCGGAGCCGCAGGAGACGCCGCUUGGGCACCGCACCCGCAGCGGUGCCAUCGUCAUCGACGAGGGCGGCCGCCCCUCCCCGCGUUCCCUCCGCCUAGUCCGGCCAAAGACUGAGCCGGGGUUGCUCCCCAUCAAGAAGGAGCACGCGGAGAUGGCCGCCGAUGACGAGACUGCCCUUAAGUGGGCGAAGGCGGACUACGUUCGCGAGCAGGUGGCGCGCCAGCGCCGGGCCUACGAGGAGAUCAAGGCCUGGCGCCGCGGACGCGAGGAGGGCGGCGUUGUCGUCCUCGACAGCGACGAGGGGGACGCGCCCGGGCCGUCCAACCCCCCGCGCGUCGGCGACCCUGGUCAAGGGUGCAGCAGGGACGACGGCGGCGGCGGCGACUACACCUAGUUCUAUAGGCUCCUCGGCAUGUAGAAGGCGGGCGGCGGCCGCGGCGUAGUAGGGCUAGGCGUAGUUUGUUUGUUUUCUGUUUUUUGUACAAAUUUGAAUGAAAAACCGCCGAGUUUGUUCCGAAUUCGAAUCAAAUCGCCGAGUUUGCGCCGAGUUGGGGGCGACCUGGGGGCGACGACUGGGAGCGCAAUCGCCCCCACGCCGAAAGUACGCGCCGGUUCUGCCCCGGAUGGCGCUUUUUCGGCUCCCUGGGGGGGCGAACGGCUGGAGAUGCUCGAUGUAGACAUUUGGGCCUUGGCAAGUUUUGGAUCAUUUGCAACUCGGCCUUGGUUCGUUUUUUGCCCAUAUGCUCACACAAUCCCCGUACCCCCAGUUGACAAACAACCACAGGUAUAUAGAGGGCAAUACAAAAGAGUCCUUCAAGGAUAAGAAAAUGAGUUUGGUACCAACAUGAAGUUGUAAACAUUUCUGGCAUGAGUUAUUGUUGUCUCCAACGCAACAACAGAAUUGAGAUCAUAACUUAACACAACUUUAAAUCAAACACAAUUCUACUAUCUAGGAACUAGCCACAAACAAUCCUAUUGAUGGAAGAUGUGAUCGUGACGACGGGAAGCACUCCAAAUUCUUAGAUCUUCUGUGCAUGCAACAACAAGAUUAUCUUUAACAUUUGCGUACUUGCAUACUGAUGCUUGUUGCCUCUUCAUUGGUUCUCUUCUUGCAUCCACUCUCGCAUUUCAAAAAUACUAGAAGGGUUGGGCGCGCUUUGCUGCGUCGCUGACGUUGUUGGGUUUCUUCAAAAGAUAAUCACUCUGUUUCAAAAUAUAAGGUGUAUUACUUUUUUGAAAAGUCAAACCUUUUUAAUUUGAUCAAAUUUAUAGAGAAAUAUAUCAAAAUUCAUAAUAUCGCAUCGCUAUUUUUAAAUUCGUCAUGAAAUGAAUUUCCAUACUUUUUUGUUUAUUAUUGUGGACGUCGAUAUUUUUCCUCUGAAAUUGGUCAAAGUUAAAGAAAUUUGACUUUCUACAAAACUAAUACCCCUUAUAUUUUGGAACUGAUGAAAUAUUUAGUUUGGCGGGUGAGAGAGAUGAUAGAGUGUGUUUUAUUUUUAUUUAUAAUGCGAUGAUUUGGUGGGCCUUUCGUGGUGAGAUUUUGUGUUAUCCGCUAACCACCUAUAUUCAUGUAAGGGAAUUUCUGUGUCUAUGGUCGCAUGUACUACUAUAUUGGUGCUAUAAUAUCAUAUGGUUGCGCUUCUUUUUUUAGGUGGUGGGAGGCUGUGCGGGAUUCAUAUAUUUUUAUACACCGGUUGUUGCUGAUUGAUUUGAAAAACGUUGGCGCGGUCAAAAUCGUAAAUCAAAUCCAAAAUUUAAUUCCUCAAUUGUAUGAAAGAGCUUCAGAAUUAGGGAACAUAGAGAAUUGAAAGAAUUGAAUGGUAGGGCUUGAGAAAGUGUUGACCCGGCCAAAAUUGGUUGACCCAAUUCUAAAUUGAACGCCUCAAUUAAUUAUGAGGCCUUAAACAUUAGGAAGCAUAUUGUAUAGUAUAAAAGAAUUGAAUGAGAGAGCUUCGAGAAAUUGUUGACCCAGUGAAAAUCGAGUGAUCCAAUUAAUUGGAGACCUCAAUUGAAUCUGGGCUCUUUAAAACUAAGGAGCUUAGUGUUAUAGAGAAUUGGCUUGUUGAGUGCUAUGAGGAUGUUUGCAAGCCGGUGUUGGACCUCAAUUUUUCAUGCAUUCACACACUAAUGAAAAUACAUGCCAAUGUGUGUUUGGUUAUUUUGUCAUAAACCAUGUUCUUGCACAAUAGAAUAGCAGACUAUCGUACUUAACCAACUCAAGAUCCAUAGGGCCGGCGUCGAACAAACAUAAAUCUCUUGGCUCGGUGUGUGCAAGAACCAAUGUCCGGUUUCUUGUUCUUGUUGUUUGUUUGGUUUCUUGAUUGUUAUCGCUUCUUGCUUUUUUCCUUUAGAUCAGAUGUCAAAAGGUAUGUCGUUGGUGAGGGCUAUGGCUCUAUCGCCUCUGGAUCUCCCUUUGAGAAGAAUUAUGGUCUCUAUUCAACCACACACAUUUUGGCAUGGUCAUGAUGUACCAUGUUGCCGCCAUCGUUGUAUCCUAUGUCAUUAUAGAUAUGAAAAAUUCUAUUCAUGUGUCUUCCAAGUUCGUUCAAAGAUUGUUGUUCUCGUUUGGUUAAUUUAUCGGGAUUGCUUCUUUUUUCUUCAGAUAGUUGGUUCCAACCGCAUAUGUUGACAUGUCCACGACUAUGAUUAAUUUCUGUUAAACAAUUUUACUUUUUUAAAAUACAUUCCCUCAAUAUAUGAAUUUUACAACUAAAAUUUUCUGUUAUAGUUUGCAAAACUAACCAUGUAAUAAUGCAAAUAAAGAUUAUGAUACAUUAAACUUUAUUAUGUAACUUCAAUGUCAAUCAGAGAAAAUUCACUUGAAUUUCAAGCUUAUAUUGCAAAUGAAUUGAUAUUAGUUAUUUCCAUUUAUGAGACACACACACUCUCUUAAAAAUCAUAUGUUAAACAAAAAUGGUUUCUAGAUAGAGAAAAGUAAAAAAGGUGUGAAAUUGCAUGACAUCAGACAUUAAUUAGUGCCACUCGGAUGAAUUGGAAAUAUACUUGUGUGCUUGAACCUAUUUACUUCCCCUAACUAUAUAGCUUACAGAGGUUUCGAGAAUGCAUUGUUGUCUAUAUGAGGUGUAAGUAAACAAAAGAUAUAGUAAUCAAUGCGCUAAAUAUAGAUCCUAUACUACAAAAACUUUCGAGGAUGCUGUCCUUCAAUUGUUGAAUCACUCAUUUAUCAUUCUUUCAUGGACAAAUAUUCCUUUCAUGUGCCUGGGUUCAACAAUCAACUUGCAUCACAUGCAUAGUUUGUGCUUUGGGUGAAUGUCGAAUUUUGGUCUCACGAGUGAAUGGUCGCAAGAACUAGUUAGGCAAACACUUAUUUUGUUGUUGAAGACGAGUUUUAGCUAUGUAUAAAUGUAUGUUAUGUCUAAUAACAUGACAAAUCUGAUCACAUAUGUUAGUGGGGCUCUAUGAGAAUUUGAUUCGUAAUUUCUGGUGGGGUUGAAAAAGAGUGUUGUAAAGCUCAUUGGCAGGCCAUGGGACAAGUCCGCUAAACUAAAGGUCAUAGAGAAAAAAUGUUUCAGGAUCUCAUAAUGUUUAAUUAUGCAUGGUUAGACAACAUGCAUGGAGAUUUUUUAACAAUGCAUGGAGCUAUUGUUAAAAGCUAAAUGUCCUCUCGCUCAUUUGUUGGAAGCGGUGUUCCCCUAGAAGGCAUCUCCGAGUUGGCAAGGCAUUGUUCACGAUAUGGAGAUUCCAAAGGGGGAGGGGGCAUUUUUUGGGUUUAAAGGGGGUGAUUUUAACAUCUAGAGGGAUAACAGGAUUACCCGCGUGUCUUGCUUAAAAUAUAUGGGUAACAAAAAUAGGUCUUGCUUGAAGUGGGUCUCGAAUUUGAUGCUUAUAGGCUACAUUGAGGGUUACAACAUUGGUGGCAACACUAUCGACAAGGGCCUCUGCUAGGUCUACCCAGGAGGCACCUUUGACCGACUGGCCUCGACGACGAUGUGAACACCGCGGCUGAGCUCAAGGUC
rnacentral:lncRNA from 1 species